GUGGGAGGAGUCCCCCUUCCUUCCCACCUCCUUCCUUUUUUUUCUUUCCUCUUGAUUUUUCUUCUCUUGGUGCAUUGGGCACUUGUGGGCUGUCCCACCAGCCCACUACGGGCUGGUGUGGUGCCCCCCAGCCCACUAAGGGCUGGUGUGGCCCCCCAAAUUCCUAUGGGCUUCCCCGGGGUGAGUUGCCCCCCCCCCCGGUGAACUCCCGGAACCCAUUCGUCAUUCCCGGUACAUUCCCGGUAACUCCGAAAACCUUCCGGUAAUCAAAUGAGGUCAUCCUAUAUAUCAAUCUUCGUUUCCGGACCAUUCCGNNNNNNNNNNNNNNNNNNNNNNNNNNNNNNNNNNNNNNNNNNNNNNNNNNNNNNNNNNNNNNNNNNNNNNNNNNNNNNNNNNNNNNNNNNNNNNNNNNNNGUGUGGGCGGCGUGCGUCCGGGGGGGGGGGGGGGGGGGCAACCCACCCCGGGGAAGCCCAUAGGCCUUGGGGGUGGCGCACCAGCCCUUAGUGGGCUGGUGGGACAGCCCAAGAUGGCCCUAUGCGCCAUAGGAAGAAAAUCAAAGAGAAAAAAAAAGAGGAGGUGGGAAAAGGGGGAAGGACUCCUCCUUCCAAACCUAGUUGGACUCGGUUUGGAAGGGGAGGGUUCCCCCCUUUGGCUCGGCCGAACCCCUGGACUUCCCCCCUUUGGCUCGGCCGAUCCCCUUGGGGCUCCUUGAGCCUCAAGGCAAGGCCCCCCCUCUCCCACCUAUAUAUACGGAGGUUUUAGGGCUGAUUUGAGACAACUUUGCCACGGCAGCCCGACCACAUAUCUCCACGGUUUUACCUCUAGAUCGCGUUUCUGCGGAGCUCGGGCGGAGCCCUGCUGAGAUAAGAUCAUCACCAACCUCCGGAGCGCCGUCACGCUGCCGGAGAGCUCAUCUACCGCUCCGUCUCUCUUGCUGGAUCAAGAAGGCCGAGAUCAUCGUCGAGAUGUACGUGUGCUGAACGCGGAGGUGCCGUCCGUUCGGCACUAGAUCGGAGUGGAUCGUGGGACGGAUCGCGGGACGGUUCGUGGGACGGUUCGCGGGGCGGAUCGAGGGACGUGAGGACGUGCCACUACAUCAACCGCGUUUCUUAACGCUUCUGCUGUGCGAUCUACAAGGGUACGUAGAUCGGAAAUCCCCUCUCGUAGAUGGACAUCACCAUGAUAGGACUUUGUGCGCGUAGGAAAUUUUUUGUUUCCCAUGCGAAUGCGACGUUCCCCAACAACUUAUGAUUUGCAUGUGAUGUUAAUCCUUUUAUGUAUCUUAUUUUGCUUAGGACGAUGGUAGCAUUAUAAGGUGAUGCCUCACUAAAAUUUCAAGAUAAAAUUGUGUUCUUCCCGAGUGUGCACCGUUGCGAAAGUUCGUCGUUUCGAAGCACCACGUGAUGUCGAGUGCGAUAGACUCUACGUUUGCAUACAACAGGUGCAAGCCAGUUUUGCACAUGUGGAACACUCGGGUUAAACUUGACGAGCCUAGCAUGUACAUACAUGGCCUCGGAACACAAGAAACCGAAAGGUCGAAUAUGAGUCAUAUAGUAGAUAUGAUCAACAUGGAGAUGUUCACCAUUGAAACCACCUCAUCUCACGUAGAUAUGAUCAACCGCGUUCACUAACGCUUCUGCUGUGCGGUCUACAAGGGUACGUAGAUCGAAUAUCCCCUCUCGUAGAUGGACAUCACCAUGAUAGGUCUUCGUGCCCGUAGGAAAAUUUUUGUUUCCCAUGCGACGUUCCCCAACAGUGGCAUCAUGAGCUAGGUUCAUGCGUAGUUGUCUUCUCGAGUAGAACACAAAAGUUUUUGUGGGCGGUGAUGUGCGUUUUUUUGCCCUCCUUAGUCUUUUCUUGAUUCCGCGGUAUUGUUGGAUUGAAGCGGCUUGGACCGACAUUACUCGUACGCUUACGAGAGACUGGUUUCAUUGCUAUGAGUAACCCCGUUGCUCAAAGAUGAUUGGCAAGUGUCAGUUUCUCCAACUUUAGUUGAAUCGGAUUUGACCGAGGAGGUCCUUGUAUAAGGUUAAAUAGCAAUUCAUAUAUCUCUGUUGUGGUGUUUGCGUAAGUAAGAUGCGAUCCUACUAGAUACCCAUNNNNNNNNNNNNNNNNNNNNNNNNNNNNNNNNNNNNNNNNNNNNNNNNNNNNNNNNNNNNNNNNNNNNNNNNNNNNNNNNNNNNNNNNNNNNNNNNNNNNUAUAAUAAUAACUAAUUUAUUAUUGCCUCUAGGGCAUAUUUCCAACAUGCUCCUCCCAAGAUCAAUAUGGAUGAAACUUUGAAAGCUAUGCGUGUUUCCAUGAAUGAGAGUAGACAAAGAACCGCCCAAAUUCGUGCUAGACAUGAAUGGCUUGAAAAGGCGUGUUCUUGUGAUGAGAAUCACGAAGAUCUUAAAGUGCUUGGUGUGACUCCCAUUGAAUCCUUGUUUUCUAGUGUCAAAACUCAAACCUAAUUAUGAUGGGGCUGGAUAUGAAUCCACCUUGGUUGAAAAACGCCCCAAUGAUUCGGAGUCUAUCUAUCUUGAUGCUAAAAGCAUUGAAAGUGGAGUAGAGGAUAUCAAAACUUUGAGUAGUAAUGAAACUACUACUUUGGAUUUCAAGGAAAUCAAUUACUAUAGUUACUCUUUGAUUGAAUGUAUUUCCUUGAUGCAAUCCAUGCUAAACUCUCCACACGCUUAUAGCUAAAACAAGGCCUUUACCGAUGAUAUCGUCGAUGCUAUGAUGAAAUCUCUUGAAGAGAAACUUGAAUUGGAAGUUUCUAUUCCUAGAAAACUUCAUGAUGAGUGGGAACCUACUACCAAAAUCAAGAUAAAAAACUAUGAAUGCAAUGCUUUGUGUGAUUUGGGUGCUAGUGUUUCCGCGAUUCCAGUCUUUAUGUGAUGUUCUAGGCUUUAAUGAGAUUGAUGAGUGCUCUCUUAAUUUGCAUCUUGCAGAUUCUACUGUUAAGAAACCUAUGGGAAGGAUCAAUGAUGUUCUUAUUAUUGCAAAUAGGAACUAUGUACCCGUAGAUUUCAUUGUGCUUGACAUUGAUUGCAAUCCUACAUGUCCUAUCAUUCUUGGUAGACCUUUCCUAAGGACUAUUGGUGUUGUCAUCGAUAUGAAGGAAGGGAAUAUUGGAUUUCAAUUUCCUUUAAAGAAGGGCAUGGAACAUUUUCCUAGAAAGAAAAUAAGAUUGCCUUAUGAAUCCAUGAUGAGGGGUACUUAUGGUUUGAGCACCAAAGACGACGACACGUGAUUCUAUCGCCUUAUGCCUAGCUAAGGGCGUUAAACAAUAGCGCUUGUUGGGAGGCAACCCAAUGAAUUUAUCUUUGCUUUUUUUGCUUUCUAUUUUGUUGUGUCCACACCAUCAUAAUUCUGUUAUGAAUGUGUCUUUUUUGUUUCUUUUUUGUGUUUGAGCCAAGUAAAACCUUUAUGACUAGUUUGGUGAUGGUUGUUUGAUCAUGCUGGAAAAAGACAGAAACUUUUCACUAACAAAAUUAUUUUUCAUUUUUAUCCAGAAAGAGAUUUUGAGUUGAUUCUUUUUAUGCUGGUUGAUAUGCCAAUUGCCCAAACUGUCGUAAUUUGUUAGAAUUUUUUAGAUAACAGAAGUAUAUGAAGUAUACAGAUUGCUAUAGACUGGUUUGUUUUUUACAAAUUAUGUUUUUGUUGUGUUGAUUGCUUAUUUUGAUGAAACUAUGGAUAGUAUCGGGGGGUACUAGCCAUGUAAAAGUGAGAAUACAGUAAUCUAACACCAAUAUAAAUAGAAAUCAAGUUUGCUACAGUACCUCAAGAGGUGGUAGUUUGUGUUCUUGUGCUAAUGAUAUCACGAGUUUCUGUUUAAGUUUUGUGUUGUGAAGUUUUCAAGUUUUGGGUGAUGUUCUCAUGGACAAAGGGAUAAAGAGUGGAAAGAGAUCAAGCUUGGGGAUGCCCAAGGCAUCCCUAGCCAAAUUCAAGGACACCAAAAAGCCUAAGCUUGGGGAUGCCCCGGGAAGGCAUCCCCUCUUUCGUCUUCAAUCCAUCGGUAACAUUACUAGGAGCUAUAUUUUUAUUCACCAGAUGAUAUGUGUUUUGCUUGGAGCGUCUUGUAUGAUAUGAGUCUUUACUUUUUAGUUUGCCACAAUCUAAGAUUAUCUCUUUGUUGUGUCACAAUCAUCGUUGCUGCACACCUUUUGAGAGAGACAUGCACUCAUCGUGAAUUUGCUAGAAUACUCAUUGAGCUUCGCUUAUAUCUUUUGAAUUAGGCAAUUUAGCUCACAUGUGUUUCACUUAUAUCUUUUGAGCUAGAUAAAUUUGCUCUAAGUGCUUCACUUAGAUCUUUUAGAGCACGGCGGUGUGUAGCGACCCGACUCAAAACAAGUCAAGCCUCUAUGUAUCUGUGCCAUCCCUGGAUCAGUAUGUUGGCACACACAGUACAUCAAUGUAUAUAUCAAAGUGCAAUCACAUGUAAACAACGUAAAAUUGAUAUAUACCUCAAAAUCUCAGCGGAAACAAUCAAGGGAAUGGAGUCCCAAUAAACACCAACGGCAAGUUGAGUGCACAGCGUAACACACCAACGGCAGGUUGAGUGCAGACCGUAACCCUGAAUCAUACUCUUACUCGUCGAAGAAAGUAUCUGCAACAUAAGACGUUGUAGCCGUGUGUUGGGGAACGUCGCAUGGGAAACAAAAAAAUUCCUACGCGCACGAAGUCCUAUCAUGGUGAUGUCCAUCUACGAGAGGGGAUUUCCGAUCUAUGUAUCCUUGUAGAUCGCACAACAGAAGCGUUAAGAAACGCGGUUGAUAUAGUGGAACGUCCUCACGUCCCUCGAUCCGCCCCGCGAACCGUCCCACGAUCCGUCCCACGAUCCGCUCUGAUCUAGUGCCGAACGGAUGGCACCUCCGCGUUCAGCACACGUACAGCUCGACGAUGAUCUCGGCCUUCUUGAUCCAGCAAGAGAGACGGAGAGGUAGAUGAUUUCUCUGGCAGCAUGACGGCGCUCCGGAGGUUGGUGGUGAUCUAAUCUCAGCAGGGCUCCGCCCGAGCUCCGCAGAAACGCGAUCUAGAGGAAAAACCGUGGAGGUAUGUGGUCGGGCUGCCGUGGCAAAAGUUGUCUCAAAUUAGCCCUAAUAGCUCCAUAUAUAUAGGAGGAGAGGAGGGGAGGCUUGCCUUGAGGCUCAAAGAGUCCCAAGGGCUGCGCCACCAAGGAGGAGUUGGAGUCCUCCUCCAAUCCUAGUCCAACUAGGAUUGGAAGGUGGAGUCCUUCUCUUCUUUCCCACCUUUCCCUUUUUUUUCUCUCUCUUCUUUUGGUUUUUCUUUCUCUCUUGCGCAAGACAGCCUUGGUCUAACCGAACCUACUUGGUGUGCCACCCCAAGGUCCUUGGGCCCUCCCGGGUGGGUGGUCCCCCCUCCCGGUGAAGAUCCAGAACCCAUUCGUCAUUCCCGGUACAUUACUGGUAAUGCCCGAAAACCUUCCGGUAACCAAAUGAAGUCAUCCUAUAUAUCAAUCUUCGUUUCCGGACCAUUCCUGAAACCCUCGUGACGUCCGUGAUCUCAUCCGGGACUCCGAACAACAUUUGUUAACCAACCAUAUAACUCAAAUACGCAUAAAACAACGUCGAACCUUAAGUGUGCAGACCCUACGGGUUCGAGAACUAUGUAGACAUGACCCGAGUGACUCCUCGGUCAAUAUCCAAUAGCGGGACCUGGAUGCCCAUAUUGGAUCCUACAUAUUCUACGAAGAUCUUAUCGUUUGAACCUCAGUGCCAAGGAUUCAUAUAAUCCCGUAUGUCAUUCCCUUUGUCCUUCGGUAUGUUACUUGCCUGAGAUUCGAUCGUCACUAUCCGCAUACCUAUUUCAAUCUCGUUUACCGGCAAGUCUCUUUACUCGUUCCGUAAUACAAGAUCCCGCAACUUACACUAAGUCACAUUGCUUUCAAGGCUUUGUGUGUGAUGUUGUAUUACCGAGUGGGCCCCGAGAUACCUCUCCGUCACACGGAGUGACAAAUCCCAGUCUUGAUCCAUGCUAACUGAACANNNNNNNNNNNNNNNNNNNNNNNNNNNNNNNNNNNNNNNNNNNNNNNNNNNNNNNNNNNNNNNNNNNNNNNNNNNNNNNNNNNNNNNNNNNNNNNNNNNNNNNNNNNNNNNNNNNNNNNNNNNNNNNNNNNNNNNNNNNNNNNNNNNNNNNNNNNNNNNNNNNNNNNNNNNNNNNNNNNNNNNNNNNNNNNNNNNNNNNNNNNNNNNNNNNNNNNNNNNNNNNNNNNNNNNNNNNNNNNNNNNNNNNNNNNNNNNNNNNNNNNNNNNNNNNNNNNNNNNNNNNNNNNNNNNNNNNNNNNNNNNNNNNNNNNNNNNNNNNNNNNNNNNNNNNNNNNNNNNNNNNNNNNNNNNNNNNNNNNNNNNNNNNNNNNNNNNNNNNNNNNNNNNNNNNNNNNNNNNNNNNNNNNNNNNNNNNNNNNNNNNNNNNNNNNNNNNNNNNNNNNNNNNNNNNNNNNNNNNNNNNNNNNNNNNNNNNNNNNNNNNNNNNNNNNNNNNNNNNNNNNNNNNNNNNNNNNNNNNNNNNNNNNNNNNNNNNNNNNNNNNNNNNNNNNNNNNNNNNNNNNNNNNNNNNNNNNNNNNNNNNNNNNNNNNNNNNNNNNNNNNNNNNNNNNNNNNNNNNNNNNNNNNNNNNNNNNNNNNNNNNNNNNNNNNNNNNNNNNNNNNNNNNNNNNNNNNNNNNNNNNNNNNNNNNNNNNNNNNNNNNNNNNNNNNNNNNNNNNNNNNNNNNNNNNNNNNNNNNNNNNNNNNNNNNNNNNNNNNNNNNNNNNNNNNNNNNNNNNNNNNNNNNNNNNNNNNNNNNNNNNNNNNNNNNNNNNNNNNNNNNNNNNNNNNNNNNNNNNNNNNNNNNNNNNNNNNNNNNNNNNNNNNNNNNNNNNNNNNNNNNNNNNNNNNNNNNNNNNNNNNNNNNNNNNNNNNNNNNNNNNNNNNNNNNNNNNNNNNNNNNNNNNNNNNNNNNNNNNNNNNNNNNNNNNNNNNNNNNNNNNNNNNNNNNNNNNNNNNNNNNNNNNNNNNNNNNNNNNNNNNNNNNNNNNNNNNNNNNNNNNNNNNNNNNNNNNNNNNNNNNNNNNNNNNNNNNNNNNNNNNNNNNNNNNNNNNNNNNNNNNNNNNNNNNNNNNNNNNNNNNNNNNNNNNNNNNNNNNNNNNNNNNNNNNNNNNNNNNNNNNNNNNNNNNNNNNNNNNNNNNNNNNNNNNNNNNNNNNNNNNNNNNNNNNNNNNNNNNNNNNNNNNNNNNNNNNNNNNNNNNNNNNNNNNNNNNNNNNNNNNNNNNNNNNNNNNNNNNNNNNNNNNNNNNNNNNNGCCUUGCAAGUCUUGGAGUCUUCAGGUCUUGAUUAUUAAAUUACCCACAACACUCAUGAUAAACACUUAACCAAACCCCGUCUACUAGAAGCAUAGCAAAAUAACGUCCCGGCCAAAGUAACAAGGGUUUAGGGGUGCCUAUCAUAACAUACUACUCAAUAACCAAAGUUUCCAAGUACCUACUUGCAUGCAAUGGGUGAAGAAGGUUGAAGCUAAUGCAAUAAAACCAUAUGUAAAAAAUAUGACCAAUGUGAACUUGACUGGUAUUACUUAAUGAAGACAAUCGCUCUCAUAAUCCUGAUAAUUCUACUCGUCACAUUCCGAGCAAUCUAUCAUAAAUGAAUAACAUUCAAUAAACAUUCAUGCCAAAAGUAAGAACCAAAAGAACAUAAGAACAAAACAUGUCUUGGUGCAAAAUAAUAAUAUACCAAGAUUUAAUAAGAAAAGACAGGGUCUUAUGGUGUUGUAAAAGGAAAGGUGAAAGGGGUCAACUCAAAAGAGUCAAAGGAUGAUCAACUAUCGCUAUAUAAGCUCGACUUGCAUGUGCUAUGGGAGAUGAUAAAAAAUAUUGGGAGAACAACAUGAAUGUUGUUUGACAAAUAGUAUAAGACAUAAGAAUUUAUUUGUAGAAAGAAUUUCUUGAAAUGGAGCACUACAACACAAGUUAUAGUGAAUUGAAGUAUGAUUUGAAUUUGUAUUCAUAAGGUCAAAAGAAGUUGAACUAUAGUACGAUAGUUAUGUACAAAAAUAUAUGACAUGAGUGUUUAGGGGUAAAAGGAAUCAAUUGAAAAGGUGUUACGAUUUGCAAGAUAAGAUCAAAUGAAUGUUCGAAUACAAAUUUGAAUUGCUCAAAUUUGUAAGUUUCAAAGGUUGAAACUAAUGAUGCUACUCGAUAUAGGAGAUCAAUAUGAACAUGUAGAAAAAAGAAUUACUAGAUUUGAAAUAGUGGAUCAAAAGAUACAAAUACUUCAAUAUAACAUUGAAUCAGCUUAGAACGAUGUGAACACUUUUGGGCACUAAUAGAUAAAUCUGAUUUGAUCAAAAUUAUAAGUUGAAAAAUUAAAACUAAUGAUACAAACGGGAAGAUUACUUUGAUACGAAUCCGACGUAAUUGGAUUCAUCUAAAACGGAGCUACGGAUAAAAAGGUAUGAUCAAAAGAAGUUUCAAUAUGAGUGUGAACAAAUUUCGAAAUUUGAAAAUUUCAAAAAAGCUGAUAUGAUAGGUUCAUUAGAUAGGUGGGAUCAAGACGGAACUCUAGGCGUUGGUUUCAUCUAAGUCGGAUAAAUGAGUAAAAAGUUUUGACUAUUUGAAAAAUCAGGGCCAAGCUGCUUUACGAAAGAAAAGUGCUAUGUCUAAAAGAAUUCUAGGACUAAUGUGUAAAUACAAAGACUAAUUGAUAAAUCUAAUUACUCUACCAUAUAUUAGUGUAGGAAUACUAGUGUAGAAAUAAUAAACUACGGGAGUUUAAAAGAAAAAUACGAAGAGAAAUACCUUUAGAAUGCAGAGUAAGAAUUAAUUUCAAAGAGGAGACCAUUUCCAGAAAUCCCGUCGAAGAGAAUAAAAUAUUUUUAUUUAAUAAAUCUAGUUAUACCAAAAGAUUGAUUUAACCCGAAAUAUAUGAUUUUUGGAGACUUCAUGAAGCUAUAUUUAUAGGUGAUAAGAAUGUCUAAAGAUCAAUGGAUAGGCAAUGCGGGACUAAACAUNNNNNNNNNNNNNNNNNNNNNNNNNNNNNNNNNNNNNNNNNNNNNNNNNNNNNNNNNNNNNNNNNNNNNNNNNNNNNNNNNNNNNNNNNNNNNNNNNNNNUUCCUGAUAACUUCAGUUCCUUCGGCUGAAGUUGUCCAUGACCGUGGACACGGCUAAUCGAUUAGGUUUGAGUACUCUGCAGAGUUUUGCACACGUUCCCCAAAAGAUUUGAUUGCCUCCGUUGAAGUCCUCGCACUUCAGGGUGUCUGAGAACCAGAUGAUCAAAACAUGGUCUUUCAACGGGUUCCUCUGAGCCUCUAUCGGUGCCCAUCCAAUCCUACCGUUCUUCUACAUCUCGUAGCACCGCCCGUCCAGAGUCACCAUGUUGUCCAACCAAGUCAGAGCCCAUAAUGACUUGUGGCUGUGCAGGUAAGCCUUGGGUCUUGAAAUAUCCAUCCAUCUCUUUGAGCCUGGGUGAAGCUUUCCGCAAGAUGUCAUGGCGCUUCUCCAUGCAUCCCGGGUUCUCCGCUGGUUUUCCCAGGGAGCCCAUCUGAACCGUCCUUCACCCUGAGGUAUAUUUCGUUCUAAGGUCUUGCAAGUCUUGGAGUCUUCAGGUCUUGAUUAUUAAAUUACCCACAACACUCAUGAUAAACACUUAACCAAACCCCGUCUACUAGAAGCAUAGCAAAAUAACGUCCCGGCCAAAGUAACAAGGGUUUAGGGGUGCCUAUCAUAACAUACUACUCAAUAACCAAAGUUUCCAAGUACCUACUUGCAUGCAAUGGGUGAAGAAGGUUGAAGCUAAUGCAAUAAAAUCAUAGGUAAAAAAAUAUGAUCAAUGUGAACUUGACUGGUAUUACUUGAUGAAGACAAUCGCUCUCAUAAUCCUGAUAAUUCUACUCGUCACAUUCCGAGCAAUCUAUCAUAAAUGAAUAACAUUCAAUAAACAUUCAUGCCAAAAGUAAGAACCAAAAGAACAUAAUAUAGCGAAUUGAAGUAUGAUUUGAAUUUGCAUUCAUAAGGUCAAAAGAAGUUGAAUUGUAGUACGAUAGUUAUGUAUAAAAAUAUAUGACAUGAGUGUUUAGGGGUAAAAGGAAUCAAUUGAAAAGGUGUUACGAUUUGCAAGAUAAGAUCAAAUGAAUAUUCGAAUACAAAUUUGUAUCGCUCAAAUUUGUAAGGUUCAAAGGUCGAAACUAAUGAUGCUACUGGAUAUAGGAGAUCAAUAUGAACAUGUAGAAAAAAGAAUUACUAGAUUUGAAAUAGCAGAUCAAAAGAUACAAAUACUUCAAUGUAACAUUGAAUCAGCUUAGAACGAUGUGAACACUUUUGGGCACUAAUAGAUAAAUCUGAUUUGAUCAAAAUUAUAAGUUGAAAAGUUAAAACUAAUGAUACAAACGAGAAGAUUACUUUGAUACGAAUCCGACGCAAUUGGAUUCAUCUAAAAUGGAGCUACGGAUAAAAAGGUAUGAUCAAAAGAAGUUUGAAUAUGAGUGUGAACAAAUUUCGAACUUUGAAAAUUUCAAAAAAGCUUAUAUGAUAGGUUCAUCACAUAGGUGGGAUCAAGACGAAACUCUAGGCGUUGGUUUCAUCUAAGUCGUAUAAACGAGUAAAAAGUUAUGACUAUUUGAAAAAUCAGGGUCAAGCUGUUUUACGAAAGAAAAGUGCUAUGUCUAAAAGAAUUCUAGGACUAAUGUGUAAAUACAGAGACUAAUUGAUGAAUCUAAUUACUCUACCAUAUACUAGUGUAGGAAUACUAGUCUAGAUAUAAUAAACUAUGGGAGUAUAAAAGAAAAAUACGAACAGAAAUACCUUUAGAAUGUAGAGUAAGAAUUAAUUCCAAAGAGGAGACCAUUUCCAGAAAUCCCGUCGAAGAGAAGAAAAUAUUUUUAUUUAAUAAAUCUAGUUAAGCCAAAAGAUUGAUUUAACCCGAAAUAUAUGAUUUUUGGAGGCUUCAAUGAAGCUAUAUUUAUAGGUGAAAAGAAUGUCUAAAGACCAAUGGAUAGGCAAUGUGGGACUAAACAUAUACGUAAUGUGGAGAAAAAGAAAAAGAAAGGCAGAGGGGUGCUGCAUGGGCCAAAGAGUUUCGGCCAGCCGCAUGUAGGGCAUUUCCGGCCAACCGUUUUUUUAUUUCUUUAUUAUUUUUUGGAAAAAAAACAGCGAAGAAAAAAUAUAUCAAAAUUUUCAGAAUAAAAUUGCCUACAACGUGAACAUAUUUUCAAGACCAAAAAAUUACUGAAAAAUAUAUAUUUUGCAAUACUAUAAAAUGAAAAGGAUUUUGAAUUUCAAAUAAAUUGCGAAUACUUAAAAUUUGAAUGAAGACAUUGUCUGUGAUUUUGGAGUGUCAUUUUCCUCCUCUCAUUUGAUUUUUUUAUCAGAGGGUUUUUGAAAAUAUUCAAAUUCAAAAAUUUAAUAGGGAGAAUUUUUUUUGGGAAGUCAUUUUAUUCCCUCUCAUUUUUUUAAACUUUCAAAUUCCACUCAAUUUUAAACAAUCAAUCACACAUCAUUCAAGAAAAAAAAAUCAUUAUUAUUUAUUUGUUAUAACAUUCCAAAAUUUAAAAUUUUGGGAUGUUACACGGUGUCAUAUUUUGGAGAAAUAAGAACUCUCGAUCUUCACUCAUAUCUUUUUGAGAGUGCUCUCUGUGAGUAACUUGGUAGUUGGCUUGUGCUAUGAAAGUAGUCUCAAAGGUGAUAGGCACCCAAAGAGGAUACAAUAAAACUUCCAUAUUCAUGUGCAUUGAUUAGAAAGAGAAGUUUGAUUCCUCUCAAUUAGUUUUUGAGACAUGGAUUUGGUAAUAUUAAGAGUUAUGUUAGUAGGGUGUUGUGAAUCUAGAAAUACUUGUGUUGAAGUUAGUGAUUCCCGUAACAUGCACAUAUGGUGAACCGCUAUGUUAGGAAGUCGGAGAAUAGUUGAUUUAUUGAUUGUCAUCCUUUGUGUUGCGAUCGGGAUCGCGCGAUGGUUAACACCUACCAACCCUUCCCCUAGGAGUAUGCGUUUAGCACUUUGUUUCGAUUACUAAUAAAAACUUUCGCAAUAAGUAUGUGAGUUCUUCAUGACUAAUGUGAGUCCAUGGUAUAGAUGCACUUUCACCUUCCACCGUUUCUAGCCUCUCUAGUGCCGCACAACUUUCGUCGGUGCACAAACCCACCAUAUACCUUCCUCAAAACAGCCACUAUACCUACCUAUUAUGGCAUUUUCAUAGCCAUUCCGAGAUAUUGCUAUGCAACUCCCACCAUUCCAUCUCAUGACUUGUGCUGUCACUUUCAUAUUGCCAUUGCAUGAUCGUAAGAUAGCUAGCGAGAUGUUUCAACGUCAUACGCUAAGCUAGAUCGUUGCACAUCUCGGUACACUGCCGGAUGCAUUUCCUAUAAGAGUCAUCAUUGUUCUAAGCAUUGAGCUGUGAGUAAAUUAAAGUGUGAUGAUCAUCAUUAUUAGAGCAUUGUGCCAUGUGAGGAAAUAAAAAAAAGAGGCCAAAGAUGCCCACAAAAAAAUGGAAAGAGGCCAAAGAGCCCAAACAAAAAAAGAGAGAGAAAAAGAGAUAAGGAACAAUGCUACUAUCUUUUUCCACACUUGUGCUUCAUAAUAGCACCAUAUUAUUCAUGAUUGAGAGUCUCUUGUUUUGUCACCACCAUAUGCUAGUGGGAAUCUUCAUUAUAUAACUUGGCUUGUAUAUUCCAAUGAUGUGCUUCCUCAAAAUUUCCCUAGGUCUUCGUGAGCAAGCAAGUUGGAUGCACACCCACUAGUUCUCCUUUUGAGCUUUCACAUACUUAUAGCUCUAAGUGCAUCCAUUGCAUGGUAAUCCAUACUCUUUCACAUUGAUAUCUAUUGAUGGGCAUCUCCAUAGCCCUUUGAUACGCCGAGUCGAUGUGACCAUCUCCUCCUUUUUGUCUCACAACCUCCACCACACUAUGUUCCACCCAUAGUGCUAUAUCCAUGGCUCACGCUCAUGUAUUGCGUGAGAGUUGAAAAAGGUUUGAGAAAGUAAGAGUGCGAAAACAAUUACUUGGCCAAUACCGGGGUUGUGCAUGAAUUAAAUUAGUUGUGUGGGGAUGAUGGAGCAUAGCCAGACUAUAUGAUUUUGUAGGGAUAAUUUUCUUUGCCUUGUUAUUUCGAAAGUUCAUGAUUACCUUGCUAGUUUGCUUGAAGUAUUAUUGUUUUCAUGUCAAUAGCAAACUAUUGCUUUGAAUCUUACGGAUCUGAACAUUCAUGUCAGAUGAAAGAAGUUACAAAGGACAAAUAUGCUAGGUAGCAUUCCACAUCAAAAAUUCAGUCUUUAUCACUUCCCUACUCGAGGACGAGCAGGAGUUAAGCUUGGGGAUGCUUGAUACGUCUCCAACAUAUCUAUAAUUUUUGAUGUCUCCAUGCUAUUAUCUUGUCAAACUUUGGAUGUUUUGUAUGCCUUCUAUAUCUUUUUUGGGACUAACUUAUUAACUCAGUGCCAAGUGCAAGUUCCUGUUUUUUCCGUGUUUUUGACCCUUUUCAGAGGAGAAUAUUAAACGGAGUCCAAACGGAAUAAAACCUCCAAAAAGAUUUUUUCCGGAACAGAAGAUACGCAGGGAGCUUGAGAACCAAGGCAGAGGGCACGAGGGGAGGCCACAAGCCCCCUAGGCGCGGCCUGGAGGCCCCGCGCCUAGCAGGCUUGUGGGCGCCGUGUGGCUCCUCUACCCUACUUCUUCCGCCUAUAAAUCUCUGAAAAUCCAAAACCACGAGAGAGAUCCUCGAAAAUACUUUUCCGCCGCUGCAAGCUUCUGUCUCCGCAAGAUCCCAUCUGGGGCACGUUCUGGCGCCCAUCCAGAGGGGGGAUUCGGAUACAGAGGGCUUCUUCAUCAACACCAUUGCCUCUCCGAUGAUGUGUGAGUAGUUCACCAUAGACCUCCGGGUCCAUAGCUAGUAGCUAGAUGGCUUCUUCUCUCUCUUGGAUCUUCAGUAUAAAGUUCUCCAUGAUCUUCAUGGAGAUCUAUCCGAUGUAAUCUUCUUUUGCGGUGUGUUUGUCGAGAUCCGAUGAAUUGUGGAUUUAUAAUCAGAUUAUCUAUGAAUCUUAUUUGAGUUUCUUCUGAUCUCUUAUAUGCAUGAUUUCAUAUCCUUGUAAUUCUCUUCGAGUUGUGGGUUUUGUUUGGCCAACUUUAUAUACGAUUCUUGCAAUGGGAGAAGUGCUUGGUUUUGGGUUCAUACCGUGCGGUGACCUCACCCAGUGACAGAAGGGGUAGCGAGGCACGCAUCGUGUUGUUGCCAUCAAGGGUAAAAAGAUGGGGUUUAUAUCUAUUGCAGGAAUUUAUCCCUCUACAUCAUGUCAUCUUGCUUAAGGUGUUACUCUGUUUGUCAUGAACUCAAUACACUAGAUGCAUGCUGGAUAGCGAUCGAUGUGUGGAGUAAUAGUACUAGAUGCAGAAAGUAUCGGUCUACUUGUCUCGGACGUGAUGCCUAUAUGUAUGAUCAUUGCCUUAGAUAUCGUCAUGACUUUGCGCAGUUCUAUCAAUUGCUCGACAGUAAUUCGUUCACCCACCGUAAUAUUUGCUAUCUUGAGAGAAGCCUCUAGUGAACACAAUGGCCCGCGGGUCUACUUCACAUCAUAUUUUCAGCUCUACACUUUUACUUUGUUGCACUUUCCGCCUUCAAAUCUCACCUUGCAAUCAAUCACGAAGGGAUUGACAACCCCUUUGUAGCGUUGGUUGCAAUAUUGCUGUUUUUGUGCACGUACAUUGGUGCCUCAUCUUGAUACUCCUAUUGGAUUGAUACCUUGGUUCUCAAACCAAGGGAAAUACUUACUGCUACUGUGAUGCAUCACCCUUUCCUCUUCAAGGGAAAAAACCAACGCAAGCUCAAGAGGUAGCAAAGAGACAUGAUAUUCAUCUUGGUCCUGCCUUUUGGGAGGAAGAUGAAUUGAUAACAAAGACUGAAAAUAAGAGUCUCCAAAAGAAUUUCUUAGAGAUGGAAAUCAAAGAGGCCAUUUUUGGCUCUUAUGCUAAUCGUGCCCCCAGCCCUGAUGGCCUAUCUUUUCUUUUUUAUCAGACCUUUUGGGAGCUGAUUAAAGCAGAUUUCAUGGCUAUGGUGAGAGAUUUUGAGGAAGGAAGACUGGAUAUACAUAGACUCAAGUUUGCUUUAAUCAUUUUAAUACCAAAGGAGCCCGAUGCCAAAACUAUGAAGAAAUUAAGACCUAUCAGUGUGAGUAACUGUGUUGUUAAUUUUUUUCCAAGGCAUUUACUAAUAGAUUGUCCCCUAUUACUAAUAGAUUAAUCUCCCCUAAUAAAAUUGCAUUUAUUAAAGGGAGAUAUAUCCUUGAGAGUGUGGUGUUGGCUCAUGAAGUGAUUCAUGAAGUGAAGAAAUCUAACACCCCAGGGCUUGUGCUCAAACUGGACUAUGAAAAAGCUUACGAUCGGGUUAGCUGGGAUUUCCUGUUUGAUAUGCUUGAAUCCCGGGGUUUUGUCCCCAAAUGGAUUGCCUCGAUCAGAAGUUUAUUGAUUCAAGGUACUUUUAGUGUACGUAUUAAUGACACGACUGGACCCUACUUUGUAGGUGGUAAAGGUCUCAAACAGGGAGACCCCAUAUCCCCACCGUUAUUCAACUUAGUAGCUGAUGUUUUUUCAAAAAUGCUAACUAAAGCUUCCAGUCAUGGACUAACUUCGGGGUUACUAACAAAUGGUAUACCGGGUGGGAUUAUCAGUCUUCGGUAUGCGGAUGAUACUCUCCUCUUUCUAGAGGAUUCGUAUGAGAAGGCGAGGAACUUUAAAUGGAUCUUAACUUGCUUUGAAAGUCUCUCGGGUAUGAAAAUCAAUUUUCAUAAAAGUGAACUCAUCACUAUUAAUGUGGAUGAAGAAAGUGCGAGGGUCUGUGCCCAAUUUUUUUGUUGUAAUCUAUGUUCUUUUCCAAUUAAAUAUUUGGGAGUGCCUCUACGCUACGACAAGUUAAGAAGAGAAGAUCUUCAACCAUUAAUUGAUAGAAUCAUUAAGGGUAUUUCUGGCUGGUUGGGGAGAUAUGUGACUUAUAAAGGCAAAAUUAUUCUGUUGUGUGCUUGUAUUGUUAGUAUUUCUGCUUACCUAAUGGCAGUGAUGAAAUUCCCAAAAUGGGCUAUUAAUGCUAUUAACUCCCAGAUGACACACUUCUUCUGGGGUAAUAUGGGUGAUCAGCAUAAGUAUCAUUUAGCCCAUUGGGGAUUGGUUUCCAGAAAAAGAUUUUGGAGGGUUAGGGAUUCCCAAUUAAGAGAAUAUAAUAUGGCUUCGUUAGCCUCUUGGGGGAAGAGAUUCUUUAAUAAUAACAAUAGUGAUUGGAAGAAGUUAUUAGCUUACAGAUAUAAUGUUUAUAGCCCAAAUAUAUUUUGGUCCAGACAACAAGGGGCUCUCCCUUUUGGAAGAGUGUAACCUAGGCUUUACAGGCUGCUAGAAAUUUCUAUCACUGGAAAAUUGGUAAUGGUGAUAACAUUAGGUUCUGGCAUGAUAAUUGGGCUGGGGAUUGUUCCCUCAAAGUCAGGUUUUGGGAGUUGUUUGAAAUCUGCAAUCAACAAGAGUGCUCUGUGUCUCAGGUUUGGGAUGGGGCCUCUUUUAGACUUUCUUUUAGAAGAUGUGUGGAUCAUAGGGUUAUCACAAGCUGGAAUGAUCUCAUUGAUCACAUCAAAAAUUUCCCUUGUCAAAUACUUCUGAUAUGCCAGUUUGGCUCUUAGAGCCUAAUGGCAUCUACUCAGUGAUUUCUCCUUUUGGAGACACUUUAUGGAAAACUUUACGUGCUCAAAAUAUUCAUGUGUUCUUAUGGCUAUGUAUAUACAACAAGAUACUAACUAGGGACAAUGUAGCUAAGAGGAAAACUUUGGAUGAUUUAACAUGUUUGUUUUGCAAUGAAGCAGAAUCUGUGCGACAUCUAUUCUUUGAUUGUAUUAAUGCUCGUAGUAUGUGGUCAAUCAUAUCUGAGUUUUUUUAAUAUGAGUAGAAUACAAUGCUUUAGUGAUGUAUAUUCCUUGUGGAAAGUAAACAAAAAAAGACAUGUGCUUAAUUUGAUUAUUGUUGCCUCCUUAUGGAGUAUUUGGACAUUGAGGAAUGAAUUUUGCUUCUAGGGGCGCACCUGGAGAGGUGUGGGCCGCGGCCUUGUCAAACUAAGAGGGACUUUGCAACAAUUGCUGGUACUUUGCGACGCUGCUCAAACAGACGUUCUGAAGAAAUUCAUUUUGCUGCUGGACAAGCAUCGAGGGGAGCUCCUAAGGAUUGCGUGGACACAAGCUUCUGAUUGAUCUUCCUGUUGCCUUGUAAUAAUAAAAGUUAAAUCUGUUUGUGGUUAGUCUUGCUCCAAGAAUGCUUGUUAAACUUUCAUGUAGUAAGUUUCAUGGGGGUAUCAGGUCUAUGGUUAUUCAGGACAUUUCCUUUGUGUCAUGCUUGAUUGGGGGAAGGUCCUUUUGAUUUUCUUAUCUGCUGGUAGUGUUUGAGCUGUAAGGUGGAUGUUGGCUGCUUUGUUUAAAUAAAAUGAGGAAGGGGGGAGACUCCUUUCUUUCAAAAAAAAUAUAUAUCAUGAAAUCUAAAACGUACACGUGCACCAUCUCGUGUUCGCGAGCGGCCGAACGCGCGUUGUUCGAUCGCGUCCGAUCGAACGAGCUAGAUCCUGCAGGUGGCGCUUGGUCGAGACGAGCCGAGUAGCCCACCUGGUCCGCCCGUGCCCCCCGGUCCUCCCGGUCCCACUCGUCAUAGAGAAAAGAAUCCCACUUAGUGGGGCGUGAUGGGCGGUGUGGUUUCAAAUUUCGAGCCACGCUCUCUCGACACUUCAUCCACUUGUACCGUUCAUUCCCCUCCCCUCCCUCCAUUUCCUCCUCGUCGGCAUUUCCCAUAUUUCUCGUCGUUGCGCUCGGCGAGGGAGAGCCGGAGGAACGGCGCGACCGAAGGCGUGGGCUCGCCAAAUCUUUUGGUGACCAGGUAAGGUUGUCGCUCAGAGUAUUUUUGUCGUGCGAGGUCGAGAUCGUGUCUAGGUAUAGGGAGGGCGAAGAAGGGCCGCACGACAGCAUUGUUUCAAGCUUUGGAGGUGGUGAGGACGGCUACGGCGGCGAGGCGCGCAUCAACGAUGAGCGCGUUGAUGCGCGAAGAGGGUCGUAGAGCGGCGAGUAGUUCCAGGUCGUGUUGCGGCGUAGUUGGAGGGGUCGCGAGAGGUUAUGAGGUAGGCGGCGAUGUCCAGGCUGCGGAGGAGGAACGGGCGACCUCCUCUAGUCGUGUUAGGGGAGUCCCACGAGCAAAAUCCCAUCACAUUGUGGUCAUCUGGUCGUGAUGCCUCCGUAGGCGACCCCCUAUGGUCGUGAUGUUCGUGUGAUAUGUGUAUAGGUGAUCAAUUUUUGGUCGAUUUCUUCCUCGAGAUGUGGGUUGGUUGUUUGAUUUGUGAUUUUAUGCAAUCUCAUGGAGAUUUUUGAUCUUCUAAUGUGCAAUUGUGAUGUUUGUGUUGGGGAACGUUGCAUGGGAAACAAAAAAUUUCCUACGCGCACACAAGAUCUAUCCAUGGUGAUGACCAUCUACGAGAGGGGAGAGUGCAUCUACAUACCCUUGUAGAUUGCUAAGUGGAAGCGUAUAUAACGCAGUUGAUGUAGUCGUAUGUAUUUGCGAUCCAAUCACGACCCGUCCCGUGAUCCCAUCACGAUCCGUCCCGCGAUCUCAUCAUGAUACUUGCCAAUUAAGUGCCGAACAGACGACAUCUCCGCGUUCAGCACACGUACAGCUCGAUGACGAUCUCCGCCUUCUUGAUCCAUCAAGAGGGGCGGAGAAGUAGAUGAUUUCUCCAGCAAGACGGCAUGGUGGUGGUGGUGGUAAACUAAUCCAACAGGGCUUCACCAAGCUCUCCUGAACUAAUCUAGAGGAGAAAACGACCUAGAGAGAGAGGGCAACACGUGGCUUAUUAGGGUUAAGGCUACCCUCAAAUCCUCUAGUAUAUAUAGGAGGGAGGGAGGGGAGGAGGCAGCCAAAAAAACCCUUCAAGGGUUCGGACGAAUAGGUGGAGGUGGAAGAGUCAACCUCCAAUCCUACUCAAAGUAGGAUUCCUUUCAUACUUGGAAACCUCCCCUCCUUUGGUUUUUUUCUUCCCCCACCUCUUGGCCGCAUGUGCCCCUUGGGUCUGGCUCAGCCAGCCCACUAAGGGCUGGUGUGCCACCCCUAAAUCCCAUGUAGCCUCCCGGCGUGGGUGACCCCUCCCGAUGGCCCUCCCGACAUUCCCGGUACACUGCCGAAAAUAGCCGAAACUUUUCCGGUGACCAAAAUGGGACUUCCUAUAUAUCAAUCUUUACCUCCGUACUAUUCUGGAGCUCCUCGUGACGUACGGGAUCUCAUCUGGAACUCCGAACAACUUUUGGUUACCAACACUCAUAACUCAAUAAUACCGAAACGUCACCGAACCUUAAGUGUGCAGACCCUACGGGUUCGAGAACUAUGCAUACAUGACCUGCGACACUCUCCGGUCAAUAACCAAUAGCGGGAUCUGGAUGCCCAUAUUAGAUCCUACAUAUUCUAUGAAGAUCUUUAUCGGUUGAACCUCUAUGUCAAGGAUUCAGCUAAUCUCGUAUGUUGUUCCCUUUGUCCUUCGGUAUGUUAUUUGCUCGAGAUUCGAUCGUCGGUAUCUCCAUACCUAGUUCAAUCUCGUUACCGGCAAGUAUCUUUACUCGUUCCAUAAUACAAGAUCCCGUGACUAACUCCUUAGUCACAUUUCUUGCAAGGCUUGUUGUGAUGUUGUAUUACCGACUGGGCCCUGAGAUACCUCUCCGUCACACGGAGUGACAAAUCCUAGUCUUAAUUCAUGCCAACCAAACAAACACCUUCGGAGAUACCCGUAGAGCACCUUUAUAGUCACCCAGUUACGUUGUGACGUUUGAUACAAAUAAGGUAUUCCUCCGGUGUUCGGGAGUUGCAUGAUAUCAUGGUCAUAGGAAUACAUACAUUGACAUGCAGAAAACAUUAGCAAUAAACUGACACGAUCAUAUGCUACGUUCAUAGUUUGGGUCUUGUCCAUCACAUCAUUCUCCUAAUGAUGUGAUCCCAUUAUCAAACGACAUCUCAUCUCUAUGGCGAGGAAACCUUGACCAUCUUUGAUCAACGAGCUAGUCCUUUAGAGGCUCACUAGGGACAGUGUGUUGUCUAUGUAUCCACACAUGUAUUUGAGUUUCCAAUCAAUACAGCUCUAGAAUGGAUAAUAAACGAUUACCAUGAACAAGGAAAUAUAAUAACAACCAAUUUAUUAUUGCCUCUAGGGCAUAUUUCCAACAACCUCCCACUUGCACUAGAGUCAAUAAUCUAGUUCACAUCACUAUGUGAUUGCAAUGAAUCUAACACCCAUAUAGUUCUGAGGUUCGAUCAUGUCUUUCUUGUGAGAGAGGUUUUUAGUCAAUGGGUCCGAAACAUUCAGAUCUGUUUGUACUUCACAAAUCUCUAUGUCAUACUUGAGAUCCUUCUACCACGCUUUACUUGGAACAAUUCCAAAUGACUGCUCCACUAUACGAUCCAGUUUACUACUUAGAGUUAUCCGGAUUAGUGUCANNNNNNNNNNNNNNNNNNNNNNNNNNNNNNNNNNNNNNNNNNNNNNNNNNNNNNNNNNNNNNNNNNNNNNNNNNNNNNNNNNNNNNNNNNNNNNNNNNNNUUGCGCUAUAGCUCUACUGUUUUUAUAUGUUCCUAGAGAAAAUUUAGGUGAAAGUUGAUAGUAGAAAACUUUGCAGACUGAGUCUGUAAAACCGAGGAUUGUCCUCGUUGUUGCGCAGAAGGCUUAUGUCCUUAAUGCACCACUCGGUGUGCUGCACCUCGAGCGUAGUUUGUAGAUGUUGUGAACAUCCAACAUACACGUUUCUGAUGACUACACGACAGUUCAGUACAAAAUACUUAAUGGCUUAGAAGCAAGGCGCCGAAGACGUUUUGAAACGUCACGCAACAUAAGAGAUGUUCUAAAGAGAUGAAAUUGUGAUUUCAUGCUUGUGCCCUUGUUAAGAGGUAUGAGACCUCCGACAAGAUUCUUUGUCCACGAAGUAAAGGAGAAAAGCUCAAUCGUUGAGUGUGUGCUCGGAUUGUCUGAAGUACGAAAAACACUUGAAUCAAGUGGGAGUUAAUCUCCCAGAUGAGAUAGUGAUGGUUCUCCAAAGUUACUACCACCAAGCUGUGAGAGCUUCGUGAUGAACUAUAACAUAUCAAGGAUAGACACAAUGAUCCUUGAGCGAUUCGCGAUGUUUGACACUGCGAGAGUAGAAAUCAAGAAGGAGCAUCAAUAGUUGAUGGUUAGUAAAACCACUAAGUUUCGAGAAAGGCAAGGGCUAGAAGGGAUACUUCGUGAAACGGCAAAGCAGUUGCUGCACUAAUGAUGAGACCCCAUAUUAAACCCAAGCCCGUGACUAAGUGCUUCUGUUAUGAGGGGAACGGUCACUGAGGCGGACAACUCUAGAUACUUGGUAGAUAAGAAGGCUGGCAAAAGUCGUAAGAAGUAUAUUUGAUAUACAUGAUGUUGAUGUGUACUUUACUAGUACUCCUAGUAGCACGAGGGUAUUGGAUAUCGUUCGGUUGCUAAGUGACUAGUAACACGAAAUGAAAGCUACGGCAUAAACGGAGACUAGCUAAAGGCGAGGUGACGAUACGUGUUGGAAGUGUUUCCAAGGUUGAUAUGAUCAAACGUCGCACGCUCCCUCUACCAUCGGGAUUGGUGUUAAACCUAAAUAAUUGUUAUUUGGUGCUUGCGUUAAGCAUGAACAUGAUUGGAUCGUGUUUAUUGCAAUACGAUUAUUCAUUUAAAGAGAAUAAUGGUUACUCUAUUUGCUUGAAUAAUCACCUUCAAUGGUUUAUUGAAUCUCGAUCGUAGUGUUACACAUGUUCAUGAUAUUGGUGCCAAAAGAUACGAGGUAAUGAUGAUAGUACCACUUACUUGUGGCACUGCCGCUUGAGUCAUGUUUGUAUAAAUUGCAUGGAGAGGCUCCAUGCUGAUGGAUCUUUAUACUCACUUGAUUUUGAAUCACUAGUGACAUGCAAAUCAUACCACGUGAGCAAGACCUUGUUUCCAUUGAGAUGAAACAAGAUAGUAACUUGUUGGAAGUGAUACAUUUUGAUGUAUGCAGUCCAAUGGGUGCUGAGGCACGCAGUGUAUAUCAUUAUGUUCUUACUGCAAAUGACGAUUUGAGUAGAUACAAGAGUAUUUACUUAAUGAAUAACAAGUCUGAAAUAUUGAAAAGUUCAAUUCUGUUUUGGAGUGAAGUUCGUCGUAACAAGAGGAUAAAUUGUCUACGAUAUGAUCACAGAAAUGAAUAUCUGAGUUACGAGUUUUGGUACGCACUUAAGACAAUGUGAAAUUGUUUCGCAGUUCAUGCCACCUGGAACAUCAUAGUGUGAUGAUGUGUCUGAACGUCAUAUCCACGCACUGUUUGGUAUGGUGCAUGCUAUGAUGUCUCUUAUCGAAUUACCACUAUCGUUUAUGGGUUAUGCAUUAGAGACAACCGCAUUCACUUUAAAUAGGGCACCGCGUAUUUCCGUUGAGAUGACACAGUAUAGACUGAGGUUUAGAGAAAUCUAAACUGUCAUUUCUUGAAAGUUUGGGGCUUCGACACUUAUGUGAAAAAGUUUCAGCCUGAUAAGCUCGAACCCAAAGCGGAUAAAUGCAUCUUCAUAGGAUAUCCAAAACAGUUGGGUACAUCUCCUAUCUUAGAUCCGAAAGCAAAGUGUUUGUUUCUAGAAGCGGAUCCUUUCUCGAGGAAAGGUUUCUCUCGAAAGAAUUGAGUGGGAGGGUGGUAGAACUUGAUGAGGUUAUUGAACCAUCACUUCAACCAGUGUGUAGCAGGGCGCAGGAAGUUGUUCCUGUGGCGCCUACACCAAUUGAAGUGAAAGCUGAUGAUGGUGAUCAUCGAGCAUCGGAUCAAGUUACUACAAGCCUCGUAGGUUGACAAGGUCGCGUACUAAUGCAGAGUGGUACGGUAACCCUGUCUUGGAGGUCAUAUUGUUGAGCAACAGUGAACCUACGAGUUAUGGAGAAAGCAAUGGUGGGCCCGGAUUCCGACAAAUGGCUGGAAGCCAUGAAAUCCGAGAGAGGAUCCAUGUAUGAAAACAAAGUGUAGACUUUGGAAGAACUACUUGAUGGUCGUAAGACUAUUAAGUACAUAUGGAUCUUUAAAAGGACUAUUGAGUAAAGAUGGAUCUUUAAAAGGAAGACAGACGAUGAUGGUGAUUAGUCACUAUUAAGAAAAGCUCGACUUGUCGCAAAGAUGUUUCCGACAAGAUCAAACAGUUGACUAUGAUGAGACUUUAUCACUCGUAGCGAUGCUAAAAGUCUGUUAGAAUUAUGUUAGUAGUUGCUACAUUAUUUAUGAAAUAUUGCACAUAGGAUGUCAAAACAUUGUUUCCUCGACGNNNNNNNNNNNNNNNNNNNNNNNNNNNNNNNNNNNNNNNNNNNNNNNNNNNNNNNNNNNNNNNNNNNNNNNNNNNNNNNNNNNNNNNNNNNNNNNNNNNNUUCUCAACACCAUUUAUUAUUGAUGUGGGUAAUAUUGAUAACUUUGGCAUGAGAAAUGGUUGGUGGAACCUUCUCAUUAAAAACCAACAAUGUAGUAAGUUUUGCUUUUACCCUCUCUCUUGUUGUAGGAAAAUUUGCUUUACACAAAACUUAAACUACAGCCCCACCUUCCAUAUAUGCAUAUAGUACAGAUGAUAUUUACACCUCUCUCUUUUGUGACUUGCCGGCAUAUUCAAUAUGCUGACCUACACGGCUGCAACGUCUUAUGUUGCAGAUACUUUCUUCGACGAGUAAGAGUAUGAUUCAGGGGUACGGUCUGCACUCAACCUGCCGUUGGUGUUUAUUGGGACUCCACUCCCUUGAUUGUUUCCGCUGAGACUUUGAGUUAUAUAUCAAUUUUACGUUAUUUACAUGUGAUUGCACUUUGAUAUAUACACUGAUGUACUGUGUGUGCCAGCAUACUAAUCCAGGGAUGGCACAGAUACACAGAGGCUUGACUCGUUUUGAGUUGGGUCGCUACAGAUAUGGUAUCAGAACACAUGUUGACUAUAGGGCGUGACCCUAGAAACUGGAAAUCCCUUAGGAAAGGAUCUCUCUAAAAUUUAUUUCCAAGAACAUUCUUUACUUCUCAUCUCUUCGGAUUUCAUCAAAUGUUCUCUCUCACCUCAAAUAGUUAGACAAUACCCUUUCCCCUUUGACCAAAUGAAGGGUCAACUGAGUUCUACUUCAAAGUAAAGAGGACUUCAUUAUGCAUUUGAAGAACUGAAGCUGCACCAAUUGAAGACUCUGAAGACCCGAAGAAAUUCAAAGACCCUGAAGCAUUCCAAUAUUUAUAUGGCCAUUAGAAGUCCAAACCCCUGUUAUAUGCCCACGUUAGAUACGAUGAUUUGUGAGCCAUCAUUGGUGUGUGUUUUCCGACAACCACAAAUAAAAUCUAUUCUCAAAAAUAUUGUUUGUAUUGUGUGUAUCUCCCUCUUUCUCUUACCCGNNNNNNNNNNNNNNNNNNNNNNNNNUUUCCCUCUCUCUCUUACCCAUCUCAUCCCAAAAACAUUGGACCCAAUAGAUGGCGUAUGAAGCUGGACUUGUAAUCUCUGGACCAAUGACCCAACUGGAAGUUGAAAUAUGGAUUCAGAACAUGGAGAACCACUUCGGGAGAAAUUUGAUUUCAAGGAAAUAUGAAGUGGCACACGCUCUUCAGUACUUUACCCAAAGUUCUGCUAUCUGGUGGAAAAUGCAUCAUGCCAUACAAGGAUUUAGUGGAGCAGAAACUUGGGACGAAUUCAAGAAGACUCUGUUAAGAUCCCGUCUUAUUCAAAAGUGAUGUGAAAGCCCGAUGAAGAAGCCUUGUGCAUGCAAGAUCUGUGGAGAAAUAGGACACACCCAGGAAGAACACAAGGAUGGAUGCACCCAUUGUGAAGAAAAUCAUCGAGCGGAGGAAUGCCCAACUAGUCAGGUGACUUGCUUAUUGUGUGAAGGAACCACCCACUACCCAGCUCAGUGUCACAUUUACUCCAAGGUGCAACAAGUUGUCAACCAGCAGAAAGAAGUAAUGAAGGAAACGCUCAAGAACAAGAUUCUAGAAGAACCUGUGAUGAAGGAAAAUAUAGAAGACCCUGAUGGACAAAGCUUAACCAGAUUUUUCUCCACUGCAUGCUACUCAUGUGGAGAGGAAGGACAUUAUUCAGAGGAUUGCACGAAGGAAAGCCAUAAGAAUCUGGGAGACUUCCCAACGGAAAAAGUAGAGUUGGAUCCACUUGAAAUAGAAGAACUGGCCAGAACGGAGCAGUCCGGAAAGAAGAGAAAGUACCCUCGGAAAAGCCAAAACUCUGCAAAUAAAGACCUGAGUCAUAUCAGAUGUUUAAAGUUUAUGGAAUUUGGCCACUACAAAAAUAUGUGCCCAAAAAGGAAGCAGGAAAACCAAGCAGUAAUAGUAAACUCCAAGAAGCCCCGAGACUUGUCGGAACUCAUUUGUUUUUGUUGCAAGGAAGCAGGACAUUAUGCUAGUAAUUGUCCACAGGGGAAGAAAGCUAAAGAUGGAGUAGUUAAGUUUUGACAAUGGCAAUAAGUGUAACAUGAAGCACUCUUGUUUCAUGAUAUUAUGGAGUUAAAUUUUGUAAGGGAAGUCUCUAAGAUUGUAAUAACUUCAUGAAUCAAUAAAAUUUAUUGUGUCAUGAUUUCCUAUGUUGAAACUGUAUGCGUUGUUUCUCUACGAACAAAGAUCUCUGACCAUCUAUGAGGAUAUGAGAAAAUAUGGUCUAUGCACGCAUGAGUAUAUUUCAUUUUAAGUGUGGUAGUAAUCGGUAAACCCACAGGAUCCAAUGAGUAGGAAUGUACCAUGCAUACCAAGGAGCCAAACCCACUGAAUACCAUUUAAGGAAAUGUUGGACCAUAUCAAACUAUGUGGGUGACAACAUUUGUAACCAAGUACUUUUGAAGUGGAAUUUCGAGAAUAGAAUGAGGAUGAAAUGAAGUAAUGAUUAUGAGGAACCAAUACCUAAGGGUAAAGAGAACAAUGGAAUGGAAAAUUAGUUCAAAGAGUCGAAUUUGUACCAAGGAUGCAUCUCAAGAUUUUCAUGAAGGUUAUCCUAAGAACAUGAAGGGAUAAACUAUGAUGGAUCAGCAAAUGUUUUCUUAGGAACAUACAAAAACCUGAGAGUGGUGAAGAACACGAUAGAUGUUUUGUUUAGCUUGCAGAACCCAUGGAUUCGUACAAACUUCGUUCGUGUACAAGAGAUAUUUCUGCAAUGCUGGUGAGGACGCCCAAGUGUUAGAAUGAGAGAUUCGCUAAACCUUAUACAGAGUAAUGAUUUGGGUGCGGAAUGGAUUGAUCACCAUGAUGACUUACUCUUAUCAUUCUCUUGCUAUUCGGAUUGGUAAAUCUAAGUGACUUACCCAUAGAGAGAGACGACGUUCUUUAAAGCUUUUGUUUAAGCCUUGGAAUGGUAUGAUGAAAGCCCAUGUACAUGGCAAUUGUUCUCAUGCGUAGGAUUUUUUUUACGGUGAGGAUAAAUCCAAGACCCUUUUCACUGCAGGAUAACCACAAAUGGUAGACCACCAUGAGAAUCAUCGAUAGGUUAUUUAGAAUGGUCACGAGACUUGUCAGACAAGAAGAUCGAGUGACGAAAGAAGCUUAAAUCCACGAAAGACAUCGGAAUUUGAGGGGAACAUUAUGAGUAUAAUGGAAGAUCAUCACCAAAGGAGUUGAGAUGAAGAAUGUGACGAGACAAAUGCCAAGACCCCACAGGAUUGUUAAAAUUUUGAGGGACUGGUAACUCUCAUUUUAAGUGUGGUAGCACCCCACUUUGCAGGAGAUUGGAUUUGUUAGAAGACCUCCAAAACCUAAAACUUUUCUUUCUAGCCUCUACGAAUCUCGAGGACGAGAUUCAUUUUAAGUGUGGUAGUUUGUAACAUCCCAAAAUUAUAAAUUUUGGAUUGUUAUAACAAAUAAGUAAUUAUGAUUUUUUUCUUGAAUGAUGUGUGAUUGAUUGUUUGAAAUCGAGUGGAAUUUGAAAGUUUUAAAAAAAAAUGAGAGGGAAUAAAAUGACAUUCCAAAAAAAUCUCCCUAUUCAAUUUUUGAAUUUGAAUAUUUUCAAAAACCCUUUGAUAAAAAAAUCAAAUGAGAGGAGGGAAAUGACUCUCCAAAAUCACACACAAUGUCUUCAUUCAAAUUUUAAGUAUUCGCAAUUUAUUUGAAAUUCAAAAUCCUUUUCAUUUUAUAGUUAUUGCAAAAAAAAAAUUUGAAGUAUUUUUUUGGUCUUGAAAAUAUGUUCAUGUUGUAGGAAAUUUUAUUCUGAAAAUUUUGAUAUAUAAUAUGCCUAUAUAAAAUAUUCUCUUAAUUUUGUAUAUAUAUUUUUUCUUCGUUGUUUUUUCCAAAAAAAUAAAAAAGUAAAAAAAUGACUAGCCGGAAAUGCCCUACACGUGGCUGGGCGAAACUCUUUGGCCCAUGCGGCACCCCUCUUCCUUUCUUUUUCUUUUUCUCCACAUUACGUAUAUGUUUAGUCCCGCAUUGCCUAUCCAUUGAUCUUUAGACAUUCUUAUCACCUAUAAAUAUAGCUUCAUGAAGUCUCCAAAAAUCAUAUAUUUCGGGUUAAAUCAAUCUUUUGGUAUAACUAGAUUUAUUAAAUAAAAAUAUUUUAUUCUCUUCGACGGGAUUUCUGGAAAUGGUCUCCUCUUUGAAAUUAAUUCUUACUCUGCAUUCUAAAGGUAUUUCUCUUCGUAUUUUUCUUUUAAACUCCCGUAGUUUAUUAUUUCUACACUAGUAUUCCUACACUAAUAUAUGGUAGAGUAAUUAGAUUUAUCAAUUAGUCUUUGUAUUUACACAUUAGUCCUAGAAUUCUUUUAGACAUAGCACUUUUCUUUCGUAAAGCAGCUUGGCCCUGAUUUUUCAAAUAGUCAAAACUUUUUACUCAUUUAUCCGACUUAGAUGAAACCAACGCCUAGAGUUCCGUCUUGAUCCCACCUAUCUAAUGAACCUAUCAUAUCAGCUUUUUUGAAAUUUUCAAAUUUCGAAAUUUGUUCACACUCAUAUUGAAACUUCUUUUGAUCAUACCUUUUUAUCCGUAGCUCCGUUUUAGAUGAAUCCAAUUACGUCGGAUUCGUAUCAAAGUAAUCUUCCCGUUUGUAUCAUUAGUUUUAAUUUUUCAACUUAUAAUUUUGAUCAAAUCAGAUUUAUCUAUUAGUGCCCAAAAGUGUUCACAUCGUUCUAAGCUGAUUCAAUGUUAUAUUGAAGUAUUUGUAUCUUUUGAUCCACUAUUUCAAAUCUAGUAAUUCUUUUUUCUACAUGUUCAUAUUGAUCUCCUAUAUCGAGUAGCAUCAUUAGUUUCAACCUUUGAAACUUACAAAUUUGAGCAAUUCAAAUUUGUAUUCGAACAUUCAUUUGAUCUUAUCUUGCAAAUCGUAACACCUUUUCAAUUGAUUCCUUUUACCCCUAAACACUCAUGUCAUAUAUUUUUGUACAUAACUAUCGUACUAUAGUUCAACUUCUUUUGACCUUAUGAAUACAAAUUCAAAUCAUACUUCAAUUCACUAUAACUUGUGUUGUAGUGCUCCAUUUCAAGAAAUUCUUUCUACAAAUAAAUUCUUAUGUCUUAUACUAUUUGUCAAACAACAUUCAUGUUGUUCUCCCAAUAUUUUUUAUCAUCUCCCAUAGCGUAUGCAAGUCGAGCUUAUAUAGCGAUAGUUGAUCAUCCUUUGACUCUUUUGAGUUGACCCCUUUCACCUUUCCUUUUACAACACCAUAAGACCCUGUCUUUUCUUAUUAAAUCUUGGUAUAUUAUUAUUUUGCACCAAGACAUGUUUUGUUCUUAUGUUCUUUUGGUUCUUACUUUUGGCAUGAAUGUUUAUUGAAUGUUAUUCAUUUAUGAUAGAUUGCUCGGAAUGUGACGAGUAGAAUUAUCAGGAUUAUGAGAGCGAUUGUCUUCAUCAAGUAAUACCAGUCAAGUUCACAUUGAUCAUAUUUUUUUACCUAUGAUUUUAUUGCAUUAGCUUCAACCUUCUUCACCCAUUGCAUGCAAGUAGGUACUUGGAAACUUUGGUUAUUGAGUAGUAUGUUAUGAUAGGCACCCCUAAACCCUUGUUACUUUGGUCGGGACAUUAUUUUGCUAUGCUCCUAGUAGACGGGGUUUGCUUAAGUGUUUAUCAUGAGUGGUGUGAGUAAUUUAAUAAUAAAGACCUGAAGACUCCAAGACUUGCAAGACCUUGUGCAAAACUCUGCAGAGUACUCAAACCUAAUCGAUUAGCCGUGUCCACGGUCAUGGACAACUUGAGCCGAAGGAACUGAAGUUAUCAGGAAUUCUCAACACCAUUUAUUAUUGAUGUGGGUAAUAUUGAUAACUUUGGUAUGAGAAAUGGUCGGUGGAACCUUCUCGUUAACAACCAACAAUGUAGUAAAUUUUGCUUUUACCCUCUCUCUUGUUGUAGGAAAAUUUGAUUUACGCAAAACUUAAACUACGGCCCCACCUUCCAUAUAUGCAUAUAGUAUAGAUGAUAUUUACACCUCUCUCUUUUGUGACUUGCCGGCAUAUUCAAUAUGCUGACCUACACGGUGUUGGAAAUAUGCCCUAGAGGCAAUAAUAAAUUAGUUAUUAUUAUAUUUCUUUGUUCAUGAUAAUCGUUUAUUAUCCAUGCUAUAAUUGUAUUGAUUGGAAACACAGUGCAUGUGUGGAUACAUAGACAAAACACUGUCCCUAGUAGGCCUCUAGUUGACUAGCUCGUUGAUCGAAGAUGGUCAAGGUUUCCUGACCAUAGGCAAGUGUUGUCACUUGAUAACGGGAUCACAUCAUUAGGAGAAUCAUGUGAUGGACUAGACCCAAACUAAUAGACGUAGCAUGUUGAUCGUGUCAUUUUGUUGCUACUGUUUUCUGCGUGUCAAGUAUUUGUUCCUAUGACCAUGAGAUCGUAUAACUCACUAACACCGGAGGAAUGCUUUAUGUGUAUCAAACGUUGCAACGUAACUGGGUGACUAUAAAGAUGCUCCACGGGUAUCUCCGAAGGUGUUCGUUGAGUUAGUAUGGAUCGAGACUGGGAUUUGUCACUCCGUGUGACGGAGAGGUAUCUCGGGGCCCACUCGGUAAUACAACAUCACACACAAGCCUUGAAAGCAAUGUGACUUAGUGUAAGUUGCGGGAUCUUGUAUUACGGAACGAGUAAAGAGACUUGCCGGUAAACGAGAUUGAAAUAGGUAUGCGGAUACUGACGAUCGAAUCUCAGGCAAGUAACAUACCGAAGGACAAAGGGAAUGACAUACGGGAUUAUAUGAAUCCUUGGCACUGAGGUUCAAACGAUAAGAUCUUCGUAGAAUAUGUAGGAUCCAAUAUGGGCAUCCAGGUCCCGCUAUUGGAUAUUGACCGAGGAGUCUCUCGGGUCAUGUCUACAUAGUUCUCGAACCCGCAGGGUCUGCACACUUAAGGUUCGACGUUGUUUUAUGCGUAUUUGAGUUAUAUGGUUGGUUACCGAAUGUUGUUCGGAGUCCCGGAUGAGAUCACGGACGUCACGAGGGUUUCAGGAAUGGUCCGGAAACGAAGAUUGAUAUAUAGGAUGACUUCAUUUGGUUACCGGAAGGUUUUCGGGCAUUACCAGUAAUGUACCGGGAAUGACGAAUGGGUUCUGGAUCUUCACCGGGAGGGGGGACCACCCACCCGGGAGGGCCCAAGGACCUUGGGGUGGCACACCAAGUAGGUUCGGUUAGACCAAGGCUGUCUUGCGCAAGAGAGAAAGAAAAACCAAAAGAAGAGAGAGAAAAAAAAGGGAAAGGUGGGAAAGAAGAGAAGGACUCCACCUUCCAAUCCUAGUUGGACUAGGAUUGGAGGAGGACUCCAACUCCUCCUUGGUGGCGCAGCCCUUGGGACUCUUUGAGCCUCAAGGCAAGCCUCCCCUCCUCUCCUCCUAUAUAUAUGGAGCUAUUAGGGCUAAUUUGAGACAACUUUUGCCACGGCAGCCCGACCACAUACCUCCACGGUUUUUCCUCUAGAUCGCGUUUCUGCGGAGCUCGGGCGGAGCCCUGCUGAGAUUAGAUCACCACCAACCUCCGGAGCGCCGUCAUGCUGCCAGAGAAAUCAUCUACCUCUCCGUCUCUCUUGCUGGAUCAAGAAGGCCGAGAUCAUCGUCGAGCUGUACGUGUGCUGAACGCGGAGGUGCCAUCCGUUCGGCACUAGAUCAGAGCGGAUCGUGGGACGGAUCGUGGGACGGUUCGCGGGGCGGAUCGAGGGACGUGAGGACGUUCCACUAUAUCAACCGCGUUUCUUAACGCUUCUGUUGUGCGAUCUACAAGGAUACAUAGAUCGGAAAUCCCCUCUCGUAGAUGGACAUCACCAUGAUAGGACUUCGUGCGCGUAGGAAUUUUUUUGUUUCCCAUGCGACGUUCCCCAACACACGGCUACAACGUCUUAUGUUGCAGAUACUUUCUUCGACGAGUAAGAGUAUGAUUCAGGGUUACGGUCUGCACUCAACCUGCCGUUGGUGUUUAUUGGGACUCCAUUCCCUUGAUUGUUUCCGCUGAGAUUUUGAGGUAUAUAUCAAUUUUACGUUGUUUACAUGUGAUUGCACUUUGAUAUAUACAUUGAUGUACUGUGUGUGCCAACAUACUGAUCCAGGGAUGGCACAGAUACAUAGAGGCUUGACUUGUUUUGAGUCGGGUCGCUACACACCGCCGUGCUCUAAAAGAUCUAAGUGAAGCACUUAGAGCAAAUUUAUCUAGCUCAAAAGAUAUAAGUGAAACACAUGUGAGCUAAAUUGCCUAAUUCAAAAGAUAUAAGCGAAGCUCAAUGAGUAUUCUAGCAAAUUCACGAUGAGUGCAUGUCUCUCUCAAAAGGUGUGCAGCAACGAUGAUUGUGACACAACAAAAAGAAAAAACUCCUAUAAUACACGAUGUGCAGAAAGGAUAAUUGUGAACAAACAAAAAGAAAAGACUCCUAAGAUACAAGACGCUCCAAGCAAAACACAUAUCAUCUGGUGAAUAAAAAUAUAGCUCCUAGUAAUGUUACCGAUGGAUUGAAGACGAAAGAGGGGAUGCCUUCCCGGGGCAUCCCCAAGCUUAGGCUUUUUGGUGUCCUUGAAUUUGGCUAGGGAUGCCUUGGGCAUCCCCAAGCUUGAUCUCUUUCCACUCUUUAUCCCUUUGUCCAUGAGAACAUCACCCAAAACUUGAAAACUUCACAACACAAAACUUAAACAGAAACUCGUGAUAUCAUUAGCACAAGAACACAAACUACCACCUCUUGAGGUACUGUAGCAAACUUGAUUUCUAUUUAUAUUGGUGUUAGAUUACUGUAUUCUCACUUUUACAUGGCUAGUACCCCCCGAUACUAUCCAUAGUUUCAUCAAAAUAAGCAAUCAACACAACAAAAACAUAAUUUGUAAAAAACAAACCAGUCUAUAGCAAUCUGUAUACUUCAUAUACUUCUGUUAUCUAAAAAAUUCUAACAAAUUACGACAGUUUGGGCAAUUGGCAUAUCAACCAGCAUAAAAAGAAUCAACUCAAAAUCUCUUUCUGGAUAAAAAUGAAAAAUAAUUUUGUUAGUGAAAAGUUUCUGUCUUUUUCCAGCAUGAUCAAACAACCAUCACCAAACUAGUCAUAAAGGUUUUACUUGGCUCAAACACAAAAAAGAAACAAAAAAGACACAUUCAUAACAGAAUUAUGAUGGUGUGGACACAACAAAAUAGAAAGCAAAAAAAGCAAAGAUAAAUUCAUUGGGUUGCCUCCCAACAAGCGCUAUUGUUUAACGCCCUUAGCUAGGCAUAAGGCGAUAGAAUCACGUGUCGUCGUCUUUGGUGCUCAAACCAUAAGUACCCCUCAUCAUGGAUUCAUAAGGCAAUCUUAUUUUCUUUCUAGGAAAAUGUUCCAUGCCCUUCUUUAAAGGAAAUUGAAAUCCAAUAUUCCCUUCCUUCAUAUCGAUGACAACACCAAUAGUCCUUAGGAAAGGUCUACCAAGAAUGAUAGGACAUGUAGGAUUGCAAUCAAUGUCAAGCACAAUGAAAUCUACGGGUACAUAGUUCCUAUUUGCAAUAAUAAGAACAUCAUUGAUCCUUCCCAUAGGUUUCUUAACAGUAGAAUCUGCAAGAUGCAAAUUAAGAGAGCACUCAUCAAUCUCAUUAAAGCCUAGAACAUCACAUAAAGACUGGAAUCGCGGAAACACUAGCACCCAAAUCACACAAAGCAUUGCAUUCAUAGUUUUUUAUCUUGAUUUUGGUAGUAGGUUCCCACUCAUCAUGAAGUUUUCUAGGAAUAGAAACUUCCAAUUCAAGUUUCUCUUCAAGAGAUUUCAUCAUAGCAUCGACGAUAUCAUCGGUAAAGGCCUUGUUUUAGCUAUAAGCGUGUGGAGAGUUUAGCAUGGAUUGCAUCAAGGAAAUACAUUCAAUCAAAGAGUAACUAUAGUAAUUGAUUUCCUUGAAAUCCAAAGUAGUAGUUUCAUUACUACUCAAAGUUUUGAUAUCCUCUACUCCACUUUCAAUGCUUUUAGCAUCAAGAUAGAUAGACUCCGAAUCAUUGGGGCGUUUUUCAACCAAGGUGGAUUCAUAUCCAGCCCCAUCAUAAUUAGGUUUGAGUUUUGACACUAGAAAACAAGGAUUCAAUGGGAGUCACACCAAGCACUUUAAGAUCUUCGUGAUUCUCAUCACAAGAACACGCCUUUUCAAGCCAUUCAUGUCUAGCACGAAUUUGGGCGGUUCUUUGUCUACUCUCAUUCAUGGAAACACGCAUAGCUUUCAAAGUUUCAUCCAUAUUGAUCUUGGGAGGAGCAUGUUGGAAAUAUGCCCUAGAGGCAAUAAUAAAUUAGUUAUUAUUAUAUUUCUUUGUUCAUGAUAAUCGUUUAUUAUCCAUGAUAUAAUUGUAUUGAUUGGAAACACAGUGCAUGUGUGGAUACAUAGACAAAACAUUGUCCCUAGUAAGCCUCUAGUUGACUAGCUCGUUGAUCAAAGAUGGUCAAGGUUUCCUGACCAUAGGAAAGUGUUGUCACUUGAUAACGGGAUCACAUCAUUAGAAGAAUCAUGUGAUGGACUAGACCCAAACUAAUAGACGUAGCAUGUUGAUCGCGUCAUUUUGUUGCUGUUGUUUUCUGCGUGUCAAGUAUUUGUUCCUAUGACCAUGAGAUCAUAUAACUCACUGACACCGGAGGAAUGCUUUGUGUGUAUCAAACGUCGCAACGUAACUGGGUGACUAUAAAGAUGCUCUACAGGUAUCUCCGAAGGUGUUCGUUGAGUUAGUAUGGAUCAAGAUUGGGAUUUGUCACUCUGUAUGAUGGAGAGGUAUCUCGGGGCCCACUCGGUAAUACAACAUCACACACAAGCCUUGCAAGCAAUGUGACUUAGUGUAAGUUGCGGGAUCUUGUAUUACGGAAAGAGUAAAGAGACUUGCCGGUAAACGAGAUUGAAAUAGGUAUGCGGAUACUGACGAUCGAAUCUCAGGCAAGUAACAUACCGAAGGACAAAGGGAAUGACAUACGGGAUUAUAUGAAUCCUUGGCACUGAGGUUCAAACGAUAAGAUCUUCGUAGAAUAUGUAGGAUCCAAUAUGGGCAUCCAGGUCCCGCUAUUGGAUAUUGACCGAGGAGUCUCUCGGGUCAUGUCUACAUAGUUCUCGAACCCGCAGGGUCUGCACACUUAAGGUUCGACGUUGUUUUAUGCGUAUUUGAGUUAUAUGGUUGGUUACCGAAUGUUGUUCGGAGUCCCGGAUGAGAUCACGGACGUCACGAGGGUUUCCGGAAUGGUCCGGAAACGAAGAUUGAUAUAUAGGAUGACUUCAUUUGGUUACCGGAAGGUUUUCGGGCAUUACCAGUAAUGUACCGGGAAUGACGAAUGGGUUCUGGAUCUUCACCGGGAGGGGGGACCACCCACCCGGGAGGGCCCAAGGACCUUGGGGUGGCACACCAAGUAGGUUCGGUUAGACCAAGGCUGUCUUGCGCAAGAGAGAAAGAAAAACCAAAAGAAGAGAGAGAAAAAAAAGGGAAAGGUGGGAAAGAAGAGAAGGACUCCACCUUCCAAUCCUAGUUGGACUAGGAUUGGAGGAGGACUCCAACUCCUCCUUGGUGGCGCAGCCCUUGGGACUCUUUGAGCCUCAAGGCAAGCCUCCCCUCCUCUCCUCCUAUAUAUAUGGAGCUAUUAGGGCUAAUUUGAGACAACUUUUGCCACGGCAGCCCGACCACAUACCUCCACGGUUUUUCCUCUAGAUCGCGUUUCUGCGGAGCUCGGGCGGAGCCCUGCUGAGAUUAGAUCACCACCAACCUCCGGAGCGCCGUCAUGCUGCCAGAGAAAUCAUCUACCUCUCCGUCUCUCUUGCUGGAUCAAGAAGGCCGAGAUCAUCGUCGAGCUGUACGUGUGCUGAACGCGGAGGUGCCAUCCGUUCGGCACUAGAUCAGAGCGGAUCGUGGGACGGAUCGUGGGACGGUUCGCGGGGCGGAUCGAGGGACGUGAGGACGUUCCACUAUUGUUCCACUACAUCAACCGCGUUCACUAACGCUUCUGCUGUGCGAUCUACAAGGGUACGUAGAUCGAAAAUCCCCUCUCGUAGAUGGACAUCACCAUGAUAGGUCUUCGUGCGUGUAGGAAAAAUUUUGUUUCCCAUGCGACGUUCCCCAACAGUGGUAUCAGAGCUAGGUUCAUGCGUAGAUGUAAUCUCGAGUAGAACACAAAAGUUUUUGUGGGCGGUGAUGUGCGUCUUGCUGCCCUCCUUAGUCUUUUCUUGAUUCCGCGGUACUGUUGGAUUGAAGCGGCUUGGACCAACAUUACUCGUACGCUUACGAGAGACUGGUUUCAUCGCUACGACUAACUCCGUUGCUCAAAGAUGACUGGCAAGUGUCGGUUUCUCCAACUUUAGUUGAAUCGAAUUUGACCGAGGAGGUCCUUGGAUAAGGUUAAAUAGCAAUUCAUAUAUCUCCGUUGUGGUGUUUGCGUAAGUAAGAUGCGAUCCUACUAGAUACCCAUGGUCACCACGUAAAACAUGCAACAACAAAUUAGAGGACGUCUAACUUGUUUUUGCAGGGUAUGCUUGUGAUGUGAUAUGGCCAACGACGUGAUGUGAUAUAUUGGAUACAUGAGAUGAUCAUGUUGUAAUAGUUAAUAUUGACUUGCACGUCGAUGGUACGGCAACCGGCAGGAGCCAUAGGGUUGUCUUUAAAAUAACGUUUGUGCUUGCAGAUGCGUUUACUAUAUUGCUAGGACGUAGCUUUAGUAGUAAUAGCAUGAGUAGCACGACAACCCCGAUGGCGACACGUUGAUGGAGAUCAUGAUGAUGGAGAUCAUGGUGUGACGCCAGUGACAAGAAGAUCGUGUCGGUGCUUUGGUGAUGGAGAUCAAGAAGCACAUGAUGAUGGCCAUAUCAUGUCACUUAUGAAUUGCAUGUGAUGUUAAUCCUUUAUACACCUUAUCUUGCUUAGAACGACGGUAGCAUUAUGAGGUGAUCUAUCACUAAAAUUUCAAGACGAAAUUGUGUUCUCCCCGACUGUGCACCAUUGCGACAGUUCUUCGUUUCGAGACACCACGUGAUGAUCGGGUGUGAUAGACUCAACGUUCACAUACAACGGGUGCAAAACAGUUGCACACGCGGAACACUCGGGUUAAGCUUGACGAGCCUAGCAUGUGCAGACAUGGCCUCGGAACACAUGAGACCGAAAGAUCGAGCAUGAAUCGUAUAGUUGAUAUGAUUAGCAUAGAGAUGCUUACCACUGAAACUAUUCUCGACUCACGUGAUGAUCGGACUUGAGAUAGUGUAUUUGGAUCAUGUACCACUCAAAUGACUAGAGAGAUGUACUUUUUGAGUGGGAGUUCUUAAGUAAUAUGAUUAAUUGAACUAAUUGUCAUGAACAUAGUCUAAUGGUCUUUGUGAAUUACGAUGUAGCUUGCGCUAUAGCUCUACUGUUUUUAUAUGUUCCUAGAGAAAAUUUAGGUGAAAGUUGAUAGUAGAAAACUUUGCAGACUGAGUCUGUAAAACCGAGGAUUGUCCUCGUUGUUGCGCAGAAGGCUUAUGUCCUUAAUGCACCACUCGGUGUGCUGCACCUCGAGCGUAGUUUGUAGAUGUUGUGAACAUCCAACAUACACGUUUCUGAUGACUACACGACAGUUCAGUACAAAAUACUUAAUGGCUUAGAAGCAAGGCGCCGAAGACGUUUUGAAACGUCACGCAACAUAAGAGAUGUUCUAAAGAGAUGAAAUUGUGAUUUCAUGCUUGUGCCCUUGUUAAGAGGUAUGAGACCUCCGACAAAAUUCUUUGUCCACGAAGUAAAGGAGAAAAUCUCAAUCGUUGAGCGUGUGCUCAGAUUAUCUGAGUACGACAAUCGCUUGAAUCAAGUGGGAGUUGAUCUUCCAGAUAAGAUAGUGAUGGUUCUCCAAAGUCACUGCCACCAAGCUGUGAGAGCUUCAUGAUGAACUAUAACAUAUCAAGGAUAGACACAAUGAUCCUUGAGCGAUUCGCGAUGUUUGACACUGCGAGAGUAGAAAUCAAGAAGGAGCAUCAAUAGUUGAUGGUUAGUAAAACCACUAAGUUUCGAGAAAGGCAAGGGCUAGAAGGGAUACUUCGUGAAACGGCAAAGCAGUUGCUGCACUAAUGAUGAGACCCCAUAUUAAACCCAAGCCCGUGACUAAGUGCUUCUGUUAUGAGGGGAACGGUCACUGAGGCGGACAACUCUAGAUACUUGGUAGAUAAGAAGGCUGGCAAAAGUCGUAAGAAGUAUAUUUGAUAUACAUGAUGUUGAUGUGUACUUUACUAGUACUCCUAGUAGCACGAGGGUAUUGGAUAUCGUUCGGUUGCUAAGUGACUAGUAACACGAAAUGAAAGCUACGGCAUAAACGGAGACUAGCUAAAGGCGAGGUGACGAUACGUGUUGGAAGUGUUUCCAAGGUUGAUAUGAUCAAACGUCGCACGCUCCCUCUACCAUCGGGAUUGGUGUUAAACCUAAAUAAUUGUUAUUUGGUGCUUGCGUUAAGCAUGAACAUGAUUGGAUCGUGUUUAUUGCAAUACGAUUAUUCAUUUAAAGAGAAUAAUGGUUACUCUAUUUGCUUGAAUAAUCACCUUCAAUGGUUUAUUGAAUCUCGAUCGUAGUGUUACACAUGUUCAUGAUAUUGGUGCCAAAAGAUACGAGGUAAUGAUGAUAGUACCACUUACUUGUGGCACUGCCGCUUGAGUCAUGUUUGUAUAAAUUGCAUGGAGAGGCUCCAUGCUGAUGGAUCUUUAUACUCACUUGAUUUUGAAUCACUAGUGACAUGCAAAUCAUACCACGUGAGCAAGACCUUGUUUCCAUUGAGAUGAAACAAGAUAGUAACUUGUUGGAAGUGAUACAUUUUGAUGUAUGCAGUCCAAUGGGUGCUGAGGCACGCAGUGUAUAUCAUUAUGUUCUUACUGCAAAUGACGAUUUGAGUAGAUACAAGAGUAUUUACUUAAUGAAUAACAAGUCUGAAAUAUUGAAAAGUUCAAUUCUGUUUUGGAGUGAAGUUCGUCGUAACAAGAGGAUAAAUUGUCUACGAUAUGAUCACAGAAAUGAAUAUCUGAGUUACGAGUUUUGGUACGCACUUAAGACAAUGUGAAAUUGUUUCGCAGUUCAUGCCACCUGGAACAUCAUAGUGUGAUGAUGUGUCUGAACGUCAUAUCCACGCACUGUUUGGUAUGGUGCAUGCUAUGAUGUCUCUUAUCGAAUUACCACUAUCGUUUAUGGGUUAUGCAUUAGAGACAACCGCAUUCACUUUAAAUAGGGCACCGCGUAUUUCCGUUGAGAUGACACAGUAUAGACUGAGGUUUAGAGAAAUCUAAACUGUCAUUUCUUGAAAGUUUGGGGCUUCGACACUUAUGUGAAAAAGUUUCAGCCUGAUAAGCUCGAACCCAAAGCGGAUAAAUGCAUCUUCAUAGGAUAUCCAAAACAGUUGGGUACAUCUCCUAUCUUAGAUCCGAAAGCAAAGUGUUUGUUUCUAGAAGCGGAUCCUUUCUCGAGGAAAGGUUUCUCUCGAAAGAAUUGAGUGGGAGGGUGGUAGAACUUGAUGAGGUUAUUGAACCAUCACUUCAACCAGUGUGUAGCAGGGCGCAGGAAGUUGUUCCUGUGGCGCCUACACCAAUUGAAGUGAAAGCUGAUGAUGGUGAUCAUCGAGCAUCGGAUCAAGUUACUACAAGCCUCGUAGGUUGACAAGGUCGCGUACUAAUGCAGAGUGGUACGGUAACCCUGUCUUGGAGGUCAUAUUGUUGAGCAACAGUGAACCUACGAGUUAUGGAGAAAGCAAUGGUGGGCCUGGAUUCCGACAAAUGGCUGGAAGCCAUGAAAUCCGAGAGAGGAUCCAUGUAUGAAAACAAAGUGUAGACUUUGGAAGAACUACUUGAUGGUCAUAAGACUAUUGAGUAAAGAUGGAUCUUUAAAAGGAAGACAGACGAUGAUGGUGAUUAGUCACUAUUAAGAAAAGCUCGACUUGUCGCAAAGAUGUUUCCGACAAGAUCAAACAGUUGACUAUGAUGAGACUUUAUCACUCGUAGCGAUGCUAAAAGUCUGUUAGAAUUAUGUUAGUAGUUGCUACAUUAUUUAUGAAAUAUUGCACAUAGGAUGUCAAAACAUUGUUUCCUCGACGGUUUCCUUGAGCAAACAUUGUAUGUGAUACAACCAGGAGGUUUUGUCGAUCCUAAAGAUACUAGCAAUUAUGCAAGCUCCAGCGAUCCUUCAAUGGACUGGUGCAAGCAACUCGGAGUUGGAAUAUACACUUUGAUGAGAUGAUCAAAGAUUUUGGGUUUGUACAAGUUUUAUGAGAAACUUGUAUUUCCAAAGAAGUGAGUGGGAGCACUAUAGAAUUUCUGAUAAGUAUAUGUGGUUGACAUAUUGUGGAUCAGAAGUAAUGUAGAAUUUUUUGUAAAGCAUACAAGGUUUUUUGAAAGGAGUUUUUCAAAGGAAUACCUGAAUUGCGCUACUUGAACGUUGAGCAUCAAAGAUCUAUGGAGAUAGAUCGAAAGCGCUUAAUAAAAGUUUCAACAAGAUGCAUGCCUUGACAAGUUUUUGAAGGAGUUCAAAAUAGAUUAGCAAAGAAGGAGUUCUUGGUUGCGUUGUAAGGUGUGAAUUUGAGUAAGACUCAAAACCCGACCCGGCAGAAUAAAGAGAAUAGACGAAGGUCGUCUUCUAUGACUUGGCCAUAGAAUCUGAAGUAUGCCAUGCUGGGUACCGCACCUGAUGUGUGCCUUGACUCAAAGUCUGUUGAGAGGUACACAGAGUGAUCCAUGAUUGAAUCACUAGCAGCGGUUAAAAUUUAUCCUUAGCAACUGAUGGACUAAGGAAUUUUUCUCGAUUAUGGAGGUGGUUAAAGAGUUCGUCGUAAAGGGUUACGUCGAUGCAAGCUUUGACACAAAUCCAAAUAACUAUGAGUAGUGAAACGGAUUCGUAUAGUAGAGUAGAUGUUUGGAGUAUUUCCGAAUAGCACAUAGUAGCAGCAUCUAUAAGAUGACAUAAAGAUUUGUAAAGAACAUACGGAUCUGAAAGUUUCAGAACCAUUGACUAAAACCUCUCUCACGAGCAAGACGUGAUUAGACCCCAUAACUAUAUGGGUGUUGGAUUCAUUGGAAUCACAUGGUGAUGUGAACUAGAUUAUUGACUCUAGUGCAAGUGGGAGACUGUUGGAAAUAUGCCCUAGAGGCAAUAAUAAAUUAGUUAUUAUUAUAUUUCUUUGUUCAUGAUAAUCGUUUAUUAUCCAUGCUAUAAUUGUAUUGAUUGGAAACACAGUGCAUGUGUGGAUACAUAGACAAAACAUUGUCCCUAGUAAGCCUCUAGUUGACUAGCUCGUUGAUCAAAGAUGGUCAAGGUUUCCUGACCAUAGGAAAGUGUUGUCACUUGAUAACGGGAUCACAUCAUUAGAAGAAUCAUGUGAUGGACUAGACCCAAACUAAUAGACGUAGCAUGUUGAUCGCGUCAUUUUGUUGCUACUGUUUUCUGCGUGUCAAGUAUUUGUUCCUAUGAUCAUGAGAUCAUAUAACUCACUGACACCGGAGGAAUGCUUUGUGUGUAUCAAACGUCGCAACGUAACUGGGUGACUAUAAAGAUGCUCUACAGGUAUCUCCGAAGGUGUUCGUUGAGUUAGUAUGGAUCGAGACUGGGAUUUGUCACUCCGUGUGACGGAGAGGUAUCUCGGGGCCCACUCGGUAAUACAACAUCACACACAAGCCUUGCAAGCAAUGUGACUUAGUGUAAGUUGCGGGAUCUUGUAUUACGGAACGAGUAAAGAGACUUGCCGGUAAACGAGAUUGAAAUAGGUAUGCGGAUACUGACGAUCGAAUCUCAGGCAAGUAACAUACCGAAGGACAAAGGGAAUGACAUACGGGAUUAUAUGAAUCCUUGGCACUGAGGUUCAAACGAUAAGAUCUUCGUAGAAUAUGUAGGAUCCAAUAUGGGCAUCCAGGUCCCGCUAUUGGAUAUUGACCGAGGAGUCUCUCGGGUCAUGUCUACAUAGUUCUCGAACCCGCAGGGUCUGCACACUUAAGGUUCGACGUUGUUUUAUGCGUAUUUGAGUUAUAUGGUUGGUUACCGAAUGUUGUUCGGAGUCCCGGAUGAGAUCACGGACGUCACGAGGGUUUCNNNNNNNNNNNNNNNNNNNNNNNNNNNNNNNNNNNNNNNNNNNNNNNNNNNNNNNNNNNNNNNNNNNNNNNNNNNNNNNNNNNNNNNNNNNNNNNNNNNNNNNNNNNNNNNNNNNNNNNNNNNNNNNNNNNNNNNNNNNNNNNNNNNNNNNNNNNNNNNNNNNNNNNNNNNNNNNNNNNNNNNNNNNNNNNNNNNNNNNNNNNNNNNNNNNNNNNNNNNNNNNNNNNNNNNNNNNNNNNNNNNNNNNNNNNNNNNNNNNNNNNNNNNNNNNNNNNNNNNNNNNNNNNNNNNNNNNNNNNNNNNNNNNNNNNNNNNNNNNNNNNNNNNNNNNNNNNNNNNNNNNNNNNNNNNNNNNNNNNNNNNNNNNNNNNNNNNNNNGGUUUCAUGCCCCAAGGGGUCUCAUGGUCUAUGGGAAGAGAUAAACCAGCCCCUAGUGGGCUGGAAUAAUUUCCCACUAAGGCCCAUAAGGUUUGAGAAGGAAAAAACACAAGGUGGAAAGAGUUUCCAAGUGGGAAGGUGGAAUCCUACUCCAAGUAGGAUUGGAGUAGGACUCCUCCACCUCCAAUUUCGGCCAAACCUUUAGGUUUUGAGGCUGCCUCCUCCCCUCCCUCCCUCCUAUAUAUAGUGGGGUUUUAGGGCUGAUUUGAGACAACUUUUUCAAGGCAGCCCGACCACAUACCUCCACGGUUUUACCUCUAGAUCACGUUUCUGCGGAGCUCGGGCGGAGCCCUGCUGAGAUUAGAUCACCACCAACCUCCGGAGCACCGUCAUGCUGUCGGAGAACUCAUCUACCUCUCCGUCUCUCUUGCUGGAUCAAGAAGGUCGAGAUCAUCGUCGAGCUGUACGUGUGCUGAACGCGGAGGUGCCGUCCGUUCGGCACUAGAUCGUGGGACGGAUCGCGGGACGGUUCGUGGGACGGUUCGCGGGGCGGAUCGAGGGACGUGAGGACGUUCCACUACAUCAACUGCAUUCACUAACGCUUCUGCUGUGCGAUCUACAAGGGUACGUAGAUCGGAAAUCCCCUCUCGUAGAUGGACAUCACCAUGAUAGGUCUUCGUGCGCGUAGGAAAUUUUUUGUUUCCCAUGCGACGUUCCCCAACAGAGCACAUCUAACUUUCAAAGCAUCAAUAUCAAGAGACAUUCUAUCAAUGCUCCUAGCCAAAUCAUCAAUUUUGAGUAGUUUUUCUUCUAUGGACGCAUUGAAAAUAUUUUGCGAGUUGAUAAACUCUUUAAUAUUACUCUCUAGAUCAGAGGCUAAUUUAUUGUAAUUUCCAUGAGCAUUGUUGUAGGAGUUGCCAAAGUUAUUAGAGGGAUUACUAGGAAAAGGCCUAGGAAUAUAGUUUCCUCUAAAAGCAUUGUUGUUGCCAAAAUUAUUCCUACCAACAAAAUUAACAUCCAAGCUUUCAUUGCUACUCUCAAUCAAGGAAGACAAGGGCAUGUCAUUUGGAUCUAAAGGAGCACCUUUACUAGCAAACAAUUUCAUUAACUCAUCCAUCUUAGCACUCAACGAGUUAAUUUCUUCUAUAGCGUGUACCUUUUUACUAGUAGGUGACCUUUCAGUGUGCCACUCAGAAUAGUUUGUCAUGAUAUUGUCUAGGAGUUUUGUGGCUUCUCCUAAUGUGAUUUCCAUGAAAGUUCCACCGGAGGCAGAGUCCAACAUAUUUCUAGAAGCAAAAUUCAAACCAGCGUAGAAGAUUUGUAUAAUCAGCCAAAGACUCAAGCCAUGAGCGGGACAAUUUCUAAUCAUCAAUUUCAUUCUCUCCCAAGAUUGUGCAACAUGUUCAUGAUCAAGUUGCUUAAAAUUCAUGAUAUCAUUACGGAGAGAGAUAAUCUUAGUCGGCGGAAAAUACUUGGAUAUAUAAGCAUCUUUGCACUUGUUCCAAGAAUCAAUACUAUUUUUGGGCAAAGAUGAAAACCAAGUUUUUGCUCGAUCUCGCAGUGAGAACGAAAAUAGCUUCAAUUUAAUCACAUCAUUAUCCACAUCUUUUUUCUUUUGCAUAUCGCAUAACUCAAUGACGCAUUAAGAUGGGAUGCGACAUCUUCACUAGGAAGGCCGGAGAAUUGCUCUUUCAUAACAAGAUUCAGCAAAGCAACAUUGAUUUCAUAUGAUUUCGCACUAGUGGCGGGAGCAAUCGGAGUACUAAUAAAAUCAUUAUUAUUAGUAUUCGAGAAGUCACAAAGUUUGGUGUUUUCAGUCAUGGUGACUUCAGCAAGUAGAUAAGCACACAAGCGAACAGAAAGCAAGCGAAAGAAAAGGGCGAACGAAAAAGGCAAAUAUUUUUUGUAAAUUUUUGUUUUUCAGAAGUGGGGGAGAGGAAAACGAGAGGCAAAAAAGUAAAUGCAAGAGAUGAGUUUGCGACACUAACUUGGAUAAGCUUCACUUGAUGCUCCCCGGCAAUGGUGCCAGAAAUUAUUCUUUCUACCUCUUGAGCUUGCGUUGGUUUUUUCCCUUGAAGAGGAAAGGGUGAUGCAGCACAGUAGCAAUAAGUAUUUCCCUCAGUUUGAGAACCAAGGUAUCAAUCCAGUAGGAGUAUCAAGAUGAGGCACCAAUGUAUCUAUGCAAAAACAGCAAACUUGCACCCAACGCUACAAAGGGGUUGUCAAUCCCUUCACGAUUGAUUGCAAGGUGAGAUCUGAAGGCGGAAAGUGCAACAAAGUAAAAGUGUAGAGCUGAAAAUAUGAUGUGAAGUAGACCCGGGGGCCAUAAUGUUCACUAGAGGCUUCUCUCAAGAUAGCAAAUAUUAUGGUGGUGAACGAAUUACUGUUGAGCAAUUGAUAGAACCGCGCAAAGUCAUGACGAUAUCUAAGGCAAUGAUCAUACAUAUUGGCAUCACGUCCGAGACAAGUAGACCGAUACUUUCUGCAUUUACUACUAUUACUCCAUACAUCAACCGCUAUCAACAUGCAUCUAGUGUAUUGAGUUCACGACAAACAGAGUAACGCCUUAAGCAAGAUGACAUGAUGUAGAGGGAUAAAUUCAUGCCAUAGAUAUAAACCCCAACUUUUUACCCUUGAUGGCAACAACACAAUGUGUGUCUCGCUGCCCCUUCUAUCACUGGGUGAGGUCACCGCACGGUAGGAAUCCAAAACCAAGCACUUCUCCCAUUGCAAUAAUCAUAGAUCAAGUUGGCCAAACAAAACCCACAACCCGAAGAGAAUUACAAGGAUAUGAAAUCAUGCAUAUAAGAGAUCAGAAGAAACUCAAAUAAGAUUCAUAGAUAAUCUGGUCAUAAAUCCACAAUUCAUCGGAUCUCGACAAACACAACGCAAAAGAAAAUUACAUCGGAUAGAUCUCCAUGAAGAUCAUGGAGAACUUUGUAUUGAAGAUCCAAGAGAGAGAAGAAGCCAUCUAGCUACUAGCUAUGGACCCGAAGGUCUAUGGUGAACUACUCACGCAUCAUUAGAGAGGCAAUGGUGUUGAUGAAGAAGCCCUACGUAUCCGAAUCCCCCUCUGUCUGGGCACCAGAACGUGCCCCAGAUGGGAUCUUGCGGAGACAGAAGCUUGCGGCGGCGGAAAAGUAUUUUCGUGGAUCUCUCUCGUGGUUUUGGAUUUUUCGGAGAUUUAUAGGCGGAAGAAGUAGGGCAGAGGAGCCACAGGGGGCCCACAAGCCUGCUAGGCGCGGGCCCCCCAGGCCGCACCUAGGGGGCUUGUGGCCUCCCCUGGUGCCCUCUGUCUUGGUUCUCAAGCUCCUUGCGUAUCUUCUGUUUCGGAAAAAAAUAUUUUCGGAGGUUUUAUUCCAUUUGGACUCCAUUUAGUAUUCUCCUCUGAAAAGGGUCAAAAACACGGAAAAAACAGGAACUGGCACUUGGCACUGAGUGAAUAAGUUAGUCCCAAAAAAGAUAUAAAAGGCAUACAAAACAUCCAAAGUUCGACAAGAUAAUAGCAUGGAACCAUAAAAAAUUAUAGAUACGUUGGAGACGUAUCACUCUCUUCAUGGCUAAACAAUCCUUUAUAAAAGGAUGUCGCCACUCCCAUCAUUUCCUUAGUAGUAUAGAAAGGCCCAUGUUCACCAAUUAGCUUAGGCACAUGAUUUUUGCGAUGUCUAUGAUUUGGUAAGGCAUGAAAAUAAGCAUUAUUUCUAUCACCAUCUUUAAUUCUACGAUCUCUUGAUCUCUGCCACAAGGAAGUCCCCUCCUUUCUCAUAAUACUUUCUAAUUCAGUUUUGAUGACUCUCAUACAUAUCUUAUCCUUGUCUGUAAUACGGUCAGUUUCCGCAAAAAUAUCUAAAAUAUCAAACUCCUGAACUAAUUCCUUCUUCUUUUUUUUAAUGGCAGCUUCAAUAUUCACACUCCAACCUUUAAUCUUCUUCCUAAGACGUUUAGAUUUAGAAAUCCAAACAUCAAUAGCACCUCUACCCAAAACUGGGUUAUUCCACACGGUCUCUACUAUUUUCCUAAAAUCAGGUUGUUCUAACCACCAUUUUUCAAACAUAAACAUCUUCAAAUAAGUAACUCUCUGGGCCAACGUAUCAAGCAAAAGGGGAGUAUGGUCACUUCCAAUUCUGGGGAGAUCCCUCAGCACUGAUAGUGGAAAUAAAGCAUCCCAAGAAGGGCAAACAAAAACUCUAUCAAUGGUGGCAUAGAUGGGAGUAUCCUGAUUAUUACACCAAGUGUACUUCCUAUUAGCAAUACUGAUUUCCAUCAAACCCCAUUUAUUGAUUCAGUCAUUAGAAACAAAAGCAACAAAAUGAUUUAUAUUACCACUACUCUUAUCACCAUUAGAUCUAAUGAGAUUAAAAUCACCACCCAAGAUAAUGGGAUAAGAAGCACUAGUCAUCACCUCAUGUAAUUCCGCAAUGAAUUCUACCUUACGCUCAUUAUAUGUUGUACCACAAACCGCAAUAAGUUGCCAGACAGAUUUCUCAGUUUUGUUUCUAACCAUAUCCGUCACACAAAAUUCUCUAUUAACAAAGCCAACAAUCUCACAGAUGUCACUGUUCAUGCCCACAAGGACACCACCAGUUGUACCAUGAGCACACAUUUGAUGCCAAACAUAGUUCUUGUUGCCCGCAAUUCUAUUCAGGGUGUUAUUAUCAAUAUUCUCUUUCUUGGUUUCAAAGAAACCAACAAAAUCCACUGAGUUUACUUUAAUGAACUCCUGCAGACGCUGAAUUUUACCAGGUUGACCCAGGCCUCGAAUAUUCCAGAAGGCUCCUAUCAUGAUAUUUAUAAGGAUGAGAUAGGCUACAAAGCCUUCUAGAUUGUUUUAGGUUUGGGCAGAAACAAUCCAGAUCAGCAGCGUCUUCCAAUCUGGUAGCAACCCCACCCUCACCAAGGGGAGAACCCCCAACCAUCCUAUGAAUCGGAGUGUCUAAAUUGUCAGGUAAUACAGUUUCAGGACUGGAAUCUGCAAAUUCGAGACAUCGAAGGCUCUCUCUAAGAACUAAAUCCUGAAUAAUAUCACUUUGUUCCACACAUCUAUCUCCCACACAUAUAUCAAUUUUAGAUAUCUGUUCAACAAGCAUUUUUGCAUCAGUAGUAACAAAAGAUUUACCUUGGAAAGAAGCAGGAAUUUCCAGGUUCUUCCUUUUUAGAUAUGCAGUAGCUUUCUCCAUGAUUUUAACAUUGCCAUGUUGUCUUGUAGCAGGUUUGGUAGAGAGCACAAGCCCCCAUUUCUUACCCUGAACUGAAUCCUCUUUCCUCUUUUUUCCAUCUCUGCCAUCUCCAAUGACUCUAUCAGAGAUCUUUUGGCAGAACCAAUUUUUUCUGCUAUGCUUUCACGAAGGCACACCAUUUCAGGCAGAUUGAUAUCAUCGUCUCCCUCAGAAUCACCCAUUUCAAUCUUCUUGAGUUGGGCAGAGCAAUACUCCAUAUGAGAAUAAAUAUCCAUAUCUUCUUGGUUUGGUAACAUCUCAGCAGCUUCAUGAGAGCCCUCCACAUGAGCAUGAGGGGUUUUGGACUCAACUUCCUCAAUGAACUGUUCAUGCACCUCAUCAUUCAGCAGCAUAGGAUGAAAAUUAGCUGCACAGACACAUGUCCCUUCCACUUUGCUUCCAGAAACAGAGCUUUUACCAUUAGAAAAGUUUGCCUUAUCAAGUUCAUCAAUAGGUUUAUCAGUAUCUCCUUCCAUAUAGUCUUUGUUCUGAUCAAAGCCAUCCUCCAACUUGUCAUCAUCUUCAACAUCCAAAUCUGGGUCAUCAUCAUCCCCUUCAGACCCCUCUCCAACCUGGUCAAAGCCUUCCACUUUGAAAAACAGAAUGUAUAUCUUCUUCUUCAUCUCAACCAGCCGCUCAUAUGGAAUUUUGGUAGGAUCUCUACAUGCCACUUUGAUUCUGAUUUUUUCAUAGAAGCUCUUAAAUAUUCCAUUCCAAUCCACAUCCACCAAGAUACCAAAACAAGAGGCAAUCUGAGCAAACACUUUCCAAGCACACCACUUUGGGGGGAUACCUUGCACCUGGAUCCAGAUCUCAGUUAGUUCUCCAUAUGGUUCUAGCAUCCCAACCCACUCACAAAUCUUCACACACACUCCAUCAAUGGGUAGGUCAAAAGCACGAAACUCAAUAAGAUCUUCUACCUUUUUCCAUGGAGGAAACCUUAGCAGGAAUUUCUUCUCCUCCAGCCCCCUAAUCUGCCAAGGCCACUCCUUCCCUUUGCAGAAAACACCAUACAGUUGAAUAAUCAGGUCGGAAGCAGAAACUUCACCUUUCAACAGUUUGAGAAAUUGCACAGUUUUUGUAGUUCAACCAAUUAGACUCAGCAGCAACAUGAAUAUAAAUGUGGUAAAAGCCCAAUCCUACUGCUGCAUGAUACGUCUCCAACGUAUCUAUAAUUUUUUAUGGUUCCAUGCUAUUAUCUUGUCAACUUUGGAUGUUUUAUAUGCAUGAAUAUGCUAUUUUAUAUCUUUUUUGGACUAACCUAUUAACUCAGUGCCAAGCGCCAGUUUUUGUUUUUCCGUGUUUUUGACCCUUUUUCAAAUGGAGUCCAAAUUGAAUAAAACUUUCGCGAUGAUUUUUUUGGACCAAAAGAGACCCCCGAAGCUUUGUAAGAAGGCCAGAAGAGCCACGAGGGAGUCACAAGCCCAGGAGGCGCCCCACCCCCUAGGUCGCACCUACCAGGCUUGUGACCUCCUUGUGGGCCCAACCGACGUAAUUCCACCGCCAUAAAUUCCUAUAAAUUUAGAAACCCCCAAAAAGAAACCUAGAUCGGGAGUUCCGCCGCCGCAAGCCUCUGAAGCCACCAAAAACCAGUCUGGAGCCCGUUCCGGCACCCUGUCGGAGGGGGAAUCCAUCUCUGGUGGCCGCCUUCAUCAUCCCGGCGAUCUCCAUGACGAGGAGGGAGUAGUUCACCCUCGGGGCUGAGGGUAUGUACCAAUAGCUAUGUGUUUGAUCUCUCUCUCUCGUGUUCUUGAGAUGUCUUGAUCUCGAUGUACCGCGGGCUUUGCUACUAUAGUUGGAUCUUAUGAUGUUCUUCCCCCUCUCCCUUCUUGUAAUGAAUUGAGUUUCGCAUUUGGAGUUAUCUUAUCGGAUUGAGUCUUUAAGAGCACUUGAUGUAUGUCUUGCACGUGUCUAUCUGUGGUGACAAUGGGAUAUUCAUGUGAGUACUUGAUGUAUGUUUUGGUGAUCAACUUGCGGGUUUCGUGACAUUGGGAACCUAUUCAUAUGGGUUGACACACGUUUUGACUCUCCCGUAGAAACUUUGGGGCACUCUUUGAAGUUAUAUGUGUUGGUUGAAUAGAUGAUUCUGAGAUUGUGUGAUGCAUAUCGUAUAAUCAUGCCCACGGAUACUUGAGGUGACAAUGGAGUAUCUAGGUGACAUUAGGGUCUUGGUUGAUAUGUGUCUUAAGGUGUUAUUCUAGUAUGAACUCUAUGAUGGAUCGAACGGAAAGAAUAGUUUCGUGUUAUUUUACUACGGACUCUUGAAUAGAUCGAUCAGAAAGAAUAACUUUGUGGUGGUUUCGUACCCGACAAUAAUCUCUUCGUUUGUUCUCCGCUAUUAGUGACUUUGGAGUGACUCUUUGUUGCAUGCUGAGGCUAGUUAUAUGAUCCAAUUAUGUUAUCAUUGUUGAGAGAACUUCACUAGUGAAAGUAUGAACCCUAGGCCUUGUUUCCAUGCAUUGCAAUACCGUUCGUGCUCGCUUUUACUUUUAGUUACCUUGCUGUUUUUGUAAUUUUAGAUUACAAAAACCUAUAUCUACCAUCCAUUGUGCACUUGUAUCACCAUCUCUUCGCCGAACUAGUGCACCUAUACAACUUACCAUUGUAUUGGGUGUGUUGGGGACACAAGAGACUCUUUGUUAUUUGGUUGCAGGGUUGCUUGAGAGAGACCAUCUUCAUCCUACACCUCCCGCGGAUUGAUAAACCUUAGGUCACCCACUUGAGGGAAAAUUGCUACUGUCCUACAAACCUAUGCACUUGGAGGCCCAACAACGUCUACAAGGAGAAGGUUGCGUAGUAGACAUCACUGCACUUCCAAAAUAUUCUGCCGUAGGUUGAAGACGGGCCCAGGCAAUGCAAUUAUUCACAUUAUGUGUGCCAGAGCAGAUGAAACAUCUCUUGGAUUCCACACAAUUCCCCACAUAAUGGCCAGGCCAACUGCAAUUGAAACAGAUCAUGUCUUUAUACCUUGGAUCUAGAGGUUGCAUAGCCGGGACUGGAGGAGGUGCAGGAGCCGAGUCUGGGUAUUGCCGGCUGGGGCCCCCUUAACAGUGUUGCCCGUAGUGGGUUUUGGGGCUGUUGGCGCCACCAUUGUUGUAGGUGCAGCAGGGGGUGGUGGAGGAGCUCCCUGUCCACCCUUCUUAGGAGGUUGUCUCUUAGGGCGCUCCCGUCCUCGUGGAUCCAUGAUCCUCUACACCACAACCGCAGAAGACACACUACCAGGUCCAAUUCCCUCACAGCUGAUCUGAAACUUGGUAGAGAUGGGGUCAAAACGACCAGGAUGAGCCACAUGACAAAUCUUUUCUAAUCCAGAACAGAUGACUACCAAGGGCAAAACUAGAUUUUGGGGAGGAGGAAGAUGGGCAUGUCUGGCCUGGCGGCGGCUGGGGGAGGGGAUAACCCACAACUAACCAUAAAAUUCCUCCACCUCCUCUUCGUUUAUGUCAUAUGGACUGGAAAACGCCUUUUCCUUUUCGCUUUCUUUUCCACCACCGAUCCUCUAAUCAACGGUUUCGAUACAACCUGGUGCCCCAAAGGAGGCCAGAACCUAUCUGAAACUCUGUCGGCCUCUCCUGUAGAAGCAGGUUUGCUAGCAGGAUGGGACCUCGUCGGAAAUUGAGCAAUGGAUAGAGAUCCAGAGACCACCGUAGGCUAGGUGUAUGGAAGAGGACCAACCUCCGAACCUAGGGUUUCCUGACUACCCCCUCAGUGUUUCCUUGAGGAACAUUCCUCGAAAUCCCCUUCCUAACCACAUUAUUAAUCUCAUCUGCGCAAGCAGGGGAUGCAUAUUUCAAAGGAAAUCUGCAUACCUUGCUCGACUUCCAUGGAACCUCGUCGCGAUCCCCCAGUCGAGCCCCCACAGUACACCCGUAGCAUGAUUGCCCACGCCUACGGGCGAUAACCUUCAGGGAAGGCGGGGAGGACUGACCCCCGGAGGCAGGAACUCCAGCGGGAUGUUGGCGAGCUCCACGAACGACGGCGGUCGGAUAUUGAGUCUGGCCGGGCUCGACGUCUUGAAUCGACGCCACCUCACCGCUUGCACCGGAUCGGUCGACUCCACCUCCUGGAUGGCCCAGAAUAUCAGGUCGAAGUCCAUCCCUCCAUCGUCGUUGGCAAAACGGCAGCGCUCCGCGAACGUGAUGUUGCGGAUAACAUCGACGCAGACCUCCGGCCACGCAUCCCGAAUCGGGAACCUGUCCCGCACCACCCGAAGUAUCUCCGUCCUCGCCGCCGGUGAGUGCGAGUCGAUUGGUGGCUGCAUCUCCACCGGUACCGGCGGCUCCACCAGAAUCAUCACCGGCUUCGCCACCAUCGACGAAGGUUGAAGACGACGAGUUGGCCUCCUCCAUCUCGAGUUCGUCAUCGGGAAGAUGAGAGGAGAGGCCGAGCGGUGGAUUCGAGUGAGCAGUGGUGGGUGGAUUUACUCUAGGAGGGUGGGUGAGGGGCUGGUGGUCAUUAAUGGCGGAUGCGGCCCGUGUGGGUGUCGCCUGCUCGGGUCCCGUGUCGUGACACGCCAUCACCGCGUUUCGUGGCUAGAUCACAUACAUCUAGAUAUAUUUUCCUUUUUUUCUUUUCUUAUUAUGUUUGAUUGAGUCAUUUAUAUGUGCAAUACUUAGGGCACAUCUAGACAUACCCUUUUAAAAAUAACAGUAUCGCAUUUUCCUUAUAGAAAACUAUCCUAUAUUAUGCAAAUCCUAUAAAGUUUGAGGCCUUAACUCAUCAAAGGGCACCGGCCUUGUGUGUUUGGUAGGGUGCAUGAGCCUAAAAUUUUCCUUCCCCACCCACUUUUGAAUGUUUGAUAAAGUGUAUGAAGGGUGCAUGAGUCCACACUAACUUAAUACAAAUAUACUAGAUGCAUGCAUGAAAAUGAGUGUUGAGAUGAACAUCCAUAAAAUGAAAACAACUAUGUUGGAAUGAGAAUGCAACCAAACACACUUAAGAAGGUCGACCGAGGGCCCAAAGAAUUUUCGAAGCCCACCCGUCCACCGCCAGCCCGCCACGUCCCAUCGCCUCACCUCACCUCACCUCACCUCACCGGUACCAUGAACCAUCCCGCGCUCACCCCGCGGGCCCCACCUGCCAUCCUCCGAUCCUGACCCGGGACGGGGCGCACGCGCACGCGCACACACGCCCUCCAAAUCCAAAUCCGAGCACCAGCCAGACCUGUCUCCAGCUUAUUUCGUUUUCCCCCUCCACCUCGGCGCGCUCCCUCUCUCGAGAUCCAGCACCUAGGGUUUGCCCCCGCCGCCGCCAUGGAUCCCGACGGGGACGGCUCCUUCCACAGGAAGGAGGCCAUCUCCGCCGUGCAGGACGUCGACCAGUACUACGGCGACGACGACGACUACGACGACCUCUACAACGACGUCAACGUCGGGGACGGCUUCCUCCACGCCUCCCAGCCCCCCGUCCAGCCCCAGCCGCCCGCGCUGCCUCCCAAGCAGCACCAGCUCCCCCCGCAGCAGGCGCCGCCGCCGCCGCAGCAGCAGCAGCAGGUUCUGCCUACCCCUUCGCUCCCGCUGCCCCCGCCGCCGCCUCCGAUGGGGCACCCGGAGAAGGCCCACAUCCCGGGUGUCGGCGCCGCCCCUCCCCCCAUCCAAGACCGCCCCAACCCGUCCCAUCUCCCGCCGCCGCCUCAGCCUCCCGUCGCCGCGGCGCCGCCGCCGCCUCCCCACCACCAGAUCCAGUCGGGAGGAGACGGCUUCCACCGGCAGGGAGGGGGCAACUUCGGGGGAGGACCGAUAGUUGUUGGCAACGGCGGGGGGGGGGACGGGCCCNNNNNNNNNNNNNNNNNNNNNNNNNNNNNNNNNNNNNNNNNNNNACGCUCUUCGUUGGGGACCUCCACUGGUGGACGACGGACGCGGAUCUGGAGGCGGAGCUGGUCAAGUACGGCCAUGUCAAGGAAGUCAGGUUCUUUGAUGAGAAGGCGAGCGGGAAAUCCAAGGGUUAUUGCCAGGUCGAUUUCUUCGACCCUGGCGCCGCUGCCGCCUGCAAGGAGGGCAUGAACGGACACCCCUUCAAUGGUCGCCCCUGUGUCGUGGCCUUUGCUUCGCCCAACACCGUACGCCGCAUGGGUGAAGCUCAGCUCAAGAACAACCAACCGAUGGGUCAGCAGAAUUCAGGUAUGCAGAAGAGUGGUGGUAGAGGUGGUGGUGGUCCACCUGGAGGCCCGCCUGGGCCUCAGGUUGGAGGAAACUAUGGUGGCAGGGGAGGCGGAGGAGCUGGUGGUGGUGGCGGCGGCGGAGGAGGAGGUGGAGCUGGUGGCGGAAAUUGGGGCAGAGGUCCAGGUGGUGGGAUGGGGGGUAGAGGUCCUGGUGGGAAUAUGAGGAAUCGGAUGGGUCCGGUGGGUGGCCGAGGGAUCAUGGGGAACGGAGGGAUGGUGGCUCCACCGCCACCAAUGAUGCAUCCCGGAGGGAUGAUGGGGCAGGGAUUUGAUCCCACUGGUUAUGGUGCAGCCAUGGGAAGGAUGGGUGGAGGGUUUGGAGGGUUCCCUGGUGGACCUGGGGGUGGACCGUUCCCAGGCUUGAUGCAGCCAUUCCCACCUGUGGUUGCUCCUCAUGUGAACCCAGCGUUCUUUGGGAGAGGAGGUGGUAUGGGUGCAGGGGGUGUUGGAAUGUGGCCAGACCCAAGCAUGGGUGGUGGUUGGGGAGGCGAGGAACAAUCAAGCUAUGGGGAUGAUGCAGCAUCUGAUCAGCACUAUGGAGAAGGUGCUAGCCAUGGUAAAGAGAGGCCACCGGAGCGGGAAUGGUCAGGUGCACCUGAAAGGAGGCGGGAGAGGGAAAAAGAUUUGCCCCCACCACCAGAAUUGCCAGAGAGAAGGCACCGUGAUGAAAGGGAUAUGGGUCGUGAGAGGGAAAGNNNNNNNNNNNNNNNNNNNNNNNNNGGAAAGAGAGAGGGACAGAGGAGGAGAUAGGGAAAGGGAGAGGGACAGAGGAGAUAGGGAAAGGGAGAGGGAUAGAGGAGAUAGGGACAGACACCGGGAUGACAGAGAUCGCCAUGGUGAUUACCACAGGCACAGGGAGCGCGAUUCUGAUCGUACUGAAGACUGGGAUAGAGGAAGGUCAUCUGGGAGACGAAGCAGGUCAAGGGAAGUUGAUCACUCAAAGCGGCGACGAAUGUCGCACGAGUGAUGUACCUGGAUGCCUAGCGUAGGGGCAGUGGCAAUCCGAGGUGGCAUAUUUUUUGCACAUGCCGGCUUUCAACCGUUCACUGCUUAUAACUGGUGGAUUUUGUGUCUCCAGGGAUCUGUUGUAGCAUUAACUGAGAUGUAAGUUCUGCUUUAUCUGUUCUUGUUUUUUGUUUUGAGUGUAAUCAUUCUUUCAUUUGGUUGUAUACCUGUACGUAGCUUCCUGUCGUUGGAUAUCACUGUGUAUAGCUGCAUAUACUUGUGUACCUACUGUAUACCAUCUGUAUAACGCUCUGGUUGCUGUUUUGUAUAGAUUUUUCAUUAAUUCUUUUGUAGCUUUAAGGCAUUGCUCAAGCUGGGAACUCAAGAAUGUAACUUAGAUUUGUAACUUGUAAAUAAGCUGUUGUAGAAAACUUCCUUGUAAUCCAAUUAUUGUUUAUAUGAUGUAUUCUCAAAAAGGAACUGUAAGGGCUCUCACCCUGUAUUCUUCAAAUAUGAGCAGUGGUGUUUAUGCUCCAGCAUUUUGAUAAGUACUCAAGAGUAGGCCUUGAAGUUAAUAUAAGUUGUAAAAAGACCUAAUUGUAUUGUUUUGGAGCUUGUAAUUGCUUAUGUCAUUCCUGUUCCGCAAUGGGUGCUCUGACAAUUAGUCGAAAGGUCCUUUGCUGGAAACAAUGUUCUUGCACACUGAGAUAAUUGAACACAUACUUGUUGAAGUGCGUGACUUGUACCAAAGUUUCACAUUUACAUUAAUCAAGUGCAAAGUCUGGAGGUGACAAGUUGCACUGCAUAACUUAUUUCCAAAGCUUGAAGUCUAGUGCUCCAGCGAUCUAUGGUGUAGAAACAUAAUAGCCAGCAUAAGUGAGACCAUAGAGUUGGGGAAGUUAUAUCUUAUAUGCCAGGACCUAUCUGUACUUGAUAAAAGCUUAAGUUUUACUGAAUAUAGAGAAUGUUUCACCCUUUCACAUGUGUAAGAACUAUUGUCCCGUGUUGGAUGUUCAUGUAACAUGUUAUAUUCUGGUAAGUAGACUUAGCACUCACUAAAAUGAGUAUCAUGCUAUGACUGCGGCUGAACCAAACUAAGAUUCCUUCUCAGUUGAAUAUAAUUAUCAUUUGCAAAUGCAUUCGUGUAUACUAGAAAACAACAUAUUUUUGUUUUCUGCUAUCACCAAUUUGCAAAUGCAUUCGUGUAUACUUGACUGCUAUCACCAAUAGAUGUCAAGUAUCUAGUGAGGAACAUAUAUGCUUGUCUUGAAAACGUAAGCACUGCAUAUUUUCUUUUCUUCAUGCAUCCUGUUAUGUGUCCAUUGACGGAGAAUAUCAAAUCAAACAUGAUUUUAUUUUGACGACAUUGGUGACUGCUAGUCCUUUCUAUUCAGUGAUCUAUACAUAUAUUGAUCUCCUUAUUCAGGAAUUGUUUUAGGCUAUAUGAACUGUUAUGCAUUCUUUCUGUACUUAAACAAUUGUCAGAGUUUUUUUAUGCCGGUAUCUUUCCUUUUGGCUGUAGUGAGCUGCUAUAUGGUUUCCAUCCAUUUAGACCAUUACAUUGUGGCCCGAUCAUUCCUAGUUUUGUGAUUUUUGAACCGAGUCUGUAACUUUCACUGCAUUAUCAUGCUACCGGUGGAGUUGCCCCUGCUACUUUUUAUUAGCCUGCUUAUUUCAUUGCCUAUUUGGCUGUGAAGGAGAAACAUUUUACAGCAAAUACUAUUAUCCUGUAUUGAGGUUGAAUGUAUUAGUUUAAUCAUUUUAUGUUUAGGUACUUUGUGUUGAGAUGAAAUGUUUCUAGAUAUAAUUUUACAUUCUUCUUUUUGAAAUAUGUCCAUAGUUUUCUUUACAACAAAUCCAUAGAUAGUCUGAAAAUAUUUUUUGUUGGCUACAAACUUUUUGUCGGCAUCUAGUACCUGCUGCAAGUCUGUAGCUUAUUUCUACUUAGCUCUAUUUGCCAUUAAUAACUUAGUUUAGCAAAUUUACUUGUAACACCAUUAAGUUCACAGCCUUCAUGUAUUAGUUUUCAUAUUCAAAUGCUGGUAACUGUGGUAUAAAAGAUAGUACCACUUCUGUUAAACUGCCAAAACGUCUUAUAUUAAUGAACAGAGGGUGUAGUUUUUAAGGUUAUGCUGUAUUGUAUGUUCUGGUGCUAUUAUUAGUUUUUACCUAUUUGUAUUCCUUUGCUGCUGGCCUGCUACCACGUACUGACUUCUUGUACUCUCUUUCUCUCUUGCAGCCAUACAAGCAGUUCGAAUAAGUGUGAAGCCAUGAUUCUAGCCUCCUCGGAUACAAGAUGUUGCUGCUGCCUGCCUACGCCUACCUGCCCCUACCUUUAAUAUACUUGCGAGUGGCAUAAUAUUGCCGGAAAGACCUGUCAAACGUGUUGUGAUUCCCCUGAAUACUCCUUUUGUUUACUUAUUAUGCGAGGAUAGAGCACUCCGAGAGUGCGAUAAUGUACUGUCUACUAUGUAUUAGGAUGAUACUGGUCUGUAACCUUGUAUUAUUACUUUUGCCUUUUUUUUUAAAAUUAUCUCUGCUGCUGGUGGACAAGUGAUCCAACAUCCAACAUUCAUGUGGCUCGUCCUUGCCUGGAGGUAGCUGCAGUGUUUGUUUUUUCUAGGUUUGUGGCUGUGUUGUACACCUGUAUGCCGCCUGUGAAUGAUUAACUGACCUAGAUGUUGGUUGUUGUGCUUGUGGCUGUAGAUUUGGAGCAGCCUAUAACGCUAGGAAUGUACACAUGCAGUUUCUAAAUGUUGCUAGGUUUGUGUUUCUUUUGGUAGAUGUUGUACAGUACGUUUUGUGAAUACGGCAGCACAAUGUUCUUACCUCUAGAAUGCACAUGUUGAACUACUGUGUGUGCUAUCUGUGACCUAUGUGUGUUUGUAUGACCUGGCAAAAUAAGAGCCAAAAUACAUUUAGGGCUUGGUUGGUAUGGCUGUUUUUCGACCAGUACGCAGAGGUUGCCAGGACUCUGCUCUGUGAGCUAUUACCCUCCGAAAUCAAACUCCAUGCACAUGCCAAAGCAAUGGCCUGAAAGUUUUGAGAACAUACAAUACAACAAUAACAAAGCCUUUCAGUCCCAAACAAGUUGGGUAAGCUAGAGUUAAAACUCAUAAGAUGUCGAAACCAAGUCAUGGUUCUACCACGGGUAUAACUAACUUUGAG
rnacentral:lncRNA from 1 species